UUUUUAAUGAUACGGCGACCACCGAGAUCUACACUCUUUCCCUACACGACGCUCUUCCGAUCUGAACUACCAUGUUCAUGACUUAGAAUUGGCUGCAAUUGUUCGUGCCUUGAAGAUUUGGAGGCAUUACCUUUGUGGUGUAUCUUGUGAGGUAUAUACGGACCAUCACCGUCUUCAGAACUUCUUUAAAAAGAGGGAUCUUAAGCUGAGACAACAGAGAUGGCUUGAGUUACUCAAAGACUAUGAUAUUACUAUUCUGUAUCAUCCAGGGAAGGCCAAUGUAGUGGUCGGUGCUUUGAGCUGGAAUACUAUUAGCAUAUGUAGUCUGGCGUACAUUCCAGUUAGGAAGAGGCCCCUUUGCGGUUGAUGUUCAGGCCUUGGCCAAUCAGGUGGUGAGGUUAGAUAUUUUCGAGCCCAGCCGGGUGUUGGCUAGUGUGGUUUCCUGGUCUUCUUUGUAUGACCACAUCAGAGAGCGCCAAUAUGAUGACCCGCAUUUGUUGUCUUGAAGGACAUGGUCCAGCAUGAUGAUGCCAGAGAUGUGACCAUUGGUGAUGAUGGUGUGUUGCGGAUGCAGGGCCGAAUUUGCGUGUCCAAUGUGGAUGGUCUCCGGGAGUUGAUAUUAGAGGAGGCUCACAGUUCGCAGUAUUUGAUUAAUCCGGGUGCCACGAGGAUGUACCAGAAUUUGAGACAACAUUACUGGUGGAGGAGGAUGAAAAAGGAUAUUGUGAAUUACGUGGCUCGGUGUCUCAACUGUCAACUGGUCAAAUAUGAGCACCAGAGACCCGGUGGUGUACUCUAGUGGAUGGAUAUUCCGAAGUGGAAAUGGGAGAAUAUUACUAUGGAUUUUGUGAGUGGUCUUCCUCGUACCUCGAAGAAGGAGACCUGGUGGCGCAUUCCAGCGGAUGGAUAUUCUGGAGUGAAAAUGGGAGAAUAUUACUAUGGAUUUUGUGAGUGGUCUUCCUCGUACCUAGAAGAAGUUUGAUUCGAUUUAGGUGAUUGUGGAUAUGCUGAUCAAGUCCGCGCACUUCAUUCUGGUAUGCACUACCUAUUAUGUGGAGAAGUUAGCAGAGAUUUUCAUUCGGGAGAUUGUACGGUUGCGUGAGGUCGCGGUUUCCAUUGUAUCAGAUAAGGGUACCAUGUUUACUUCCCAGUUCUGGAGGACUUUUCAUCGGGAGUUGGGCACACAGGUACGGUUGAGCACAACAUUUCAUCCACAGACGGACGAGCAGUCCGAGCGUACUAUCCAGAUAUUGGAGGACAUGUUGUGUGCCUGUACUAUUGAUUUUGGAGGUUCUUGGGCUGAAUUCUUGCCACUUACGGAGUUUGCAUAUAAUAACAGCUACCAAUCCAGCAUCCAGAUAGCGCCGCAUGAGUCCUUAUACGGGAGACGGUGUAGAUCUCCGGAUGGUUGGUUUGAGCCCGGAGAGGCUAGAUUAUUGGGGAUUGAGUUAGUUCAGGAUGCUUUAGAGAAGAUAAGUGAUCCAGGAGAGGCUUCGUUCAGCUCAGUCGCGUUAGAAGAGUUAUACGGAUCGGAUAUUUUGAAAUAUAUCUUAUGUAGUGGGCGAGAAGGUCUUGUUAAAGGUUUCUCCUAUUAAAGGCGUUAUGAGGUUUGGAAAGAAAGGAAAGCUGAAUCCCAGAUUCAUUGGACCAUUUGAAAUACUUAGGAGGAUUGGGGAGGUGGCAUAUAUGCUCGCUUGCCGCCUAGCUUGUCGGGAGUUCAUCCAGUGUUCCAUGUUUCUAUGCUCCAGAAGUAUGUUUGGGACCCGUCUCAUGUGUUAGACUUCAUCACGAUCCAGUUAGAUGAAGAGUUGACCUAUGAUGUGGAUCCGGUGGCUAUUUUGGGUGGUCAGGUUCAAAAGUUGAGAUCAAAGGACUUAGCUUCAGUGAAGGUGCAGUGGAGAGGUGGGCCCGUGGAGGAAGCCACUUGGGAGACCGAGCAGGAGAUGUGGAGCAAAUAUCCUCACUUGUUUGAUACUCCAGGUAUUUUUCUUUCUUAACCCGCUCGAGGACGAGCGUUUGUUUAAGUUGGGGAGGAUGUAACGACCAGACCCGUCGUCCCGCCUGUUUUUUUCUUUUAUGUUGUAUAUGUUUUGGGUAUGUUUCUUGACCUGCUCGAGGACGAGCGUUUGUUUAAGUUGGGGAGGAUGUAACGACCUAACCCGUCGUCCCGUGAGUUACCGCCCGUUUUCUCCAUUUUAUGGUUCUAUAUGUUCUAUUAUAUGUGUUUGGAGAGUUUGAAGUGAUUCGGAUGGAGUUUGGGUAGAAAUGAGACAAUUAGUCUCUUUAUGAGGAGGUUAGUUGGGAAAAAGUCAACUGAAUGUUGACUUAUGAGUUAGAUGGCUCGGAAUGGAUUUUUGACAAUUCGACUAGUUUCGGAUGUUGAUUUAUGACUUAGGAGAGCAAUCAGAACUGAAUUUGGAGGUCAGAUGUAGAAUUAGGCUUGAAUUGGCUAGUUAGAAUUUUGGCAAAGUCCGGUUGAUAGGAGAAAUUUUGAUCCGGGGGUCGGAGUGGGAUUACAAUAGUUGCAGUAGAUUUGUUAGGUGAUUUUGGAUAUGCGUGCAAAUUUUCAGACCAUUUGGAUGUGUUUAGGUUGGGUUUUGAAUCAAAUGCAAGUUUCGGAAGUUUUAGUUUAACUUAGGCUUGAACCCGUGGUAAUUUGAUGAUUUUGAUGUUUAUGAUAGUGUUUUUAUGUUACGAGCAAGUUUGAAUNNNNNNNNNNNNNNNNNNNNNNNNNNNNNNNNNNNNNNNNNNNNNNNNNNNNNUAUGUUACGAGCAAGUUUGAAUGAAGUAAUAGAACAUAUCUGUGCUUUUGGUUGAGGUCCCGAGGGCCUCAGGGUGAUUUCGGAUGGCUAACGAGAAUUUUUAAAGUUUAAUACGCAGCAGAAAAAUUACAGAGGAAUUUUCCUCUAUGCGAUCGCAUAGGUUGGCCUGGAGGAGUCCCAGAAUUUGUUCAGUGCGAUCGCGUAAGAGGCUCUGCGAUCGCAUAGUUUUGGGAUUGUGUUCAGUGUGAUUGCGUAGUGGCGAAUGCGAUCGCGUAGUUGUAUGGCUUAGUGUUAUGCGAUCGCAUGGGUUGUUAUGCAAACGCAUAAGAGGAAAUUGGAGGGCCGGGUUUUUUGGUCCAUGCGAUCGCAGGAGUAGGGAUGCGAUCGCAUAGAAGGAUAACUGGGCGGACAAAAUGUUUUAAGGGUUAUUUCACCCGCGACCUAUUCAUAACUUCCUCCAUUGUUAAGAAACUAAGAGAGAUUUUUGAGCGAUUUGAAGCGUGUUUUCAACGGGUAUUGAUUGGAGGUAAGUCUCUUGACUUAAAACACCAUUUUUAGGAAGAAUCAAUCCUUAAUUGCAUGAAAUUAUGUAGAAAUUUUGGAGAACUAGGGCUUAGUUUUAAGAAACGAAUUUUGGGAUUUAAAAGGUCAUUCGAGCUCUGUUUUGACAAACUUUAUAUGUACGGACUCGUGGCGAGAGAAGGAAUUCAAAGAUGCAAUUUUCAGAAUUUUUCGAGAAGUGGGCCCGGGGCUCAGGUUUUACCAACUUUGUGAUUUUUAGCAUUUUUGAAUUAUUUCAAUUGUGAUUUUUAGCAUAUAAUAACUUAUUCAUUGUGGUUUUGACUAGAUUCGACGCGCGUAGACGGGGAUUCAAAGGGAAAAGGCAUCGCGGACCAGUCUACGACCGGUUAGAGGUGAGUAAUUUGUAUAGAUGAUGGCCUGAGGGUUUGAAACCCUGGUUCAUCAGAUCGUGACGCUAGCGUGACCCGCACCCCAUGGCAGGUGCGGGAUGGUAUAUGAUUGGGUAUUGUGACUUUGUCCAUCCCGAGAGUUGAAAAUAAAUUAUUGGCAGCUGAUACGCACAUUGUGUUGUUGAUAAUUGGGCUUAAUGCCAUGUUUGGGGCCUUGCCCCGAUCUGUAGUACCCAUCUAGGGUGAAUAACUGUGUGAUAACAUGAUUUGCAUAAUCAAUGAUCUCAGCCUUGUGGUUAAUUACUAUCAUUAAAUGCUAAGUCACCUUAUUCCUGAAAUUGAUUAAUUAAAUUACAUUCAUCUUAAUAAUUAGAAAAAUGGGAAAUUUGAUUAAAUAUGUGAUGUGACUCAUAUGCAUACUAUGGACUGGACAUGGGUCGGGCUGCACGCCGCAGAAGUGAUAUUAUAAUAUUGUGCUUGGGCUGAAGGAGCCCCUAUGGAGUCCGUACACACCCCCAGUGAGUACCAUCAACGUUAAACGGAUCGGGCUGCAUGCUGCAGCAUAUUCAUGUGCAUUGCAUUGCAUCUUUACCUGAUACUUGACGGAUAUAUUUGUUAUUGUUUUGUUGUUAGUUCAUAGUUAAGGUGUAGGACGGUUAGUUUUAGCUUUGCUUUGUUGCAUUUUGUGGAUUUCUUACUUUCAUACAUUUUCUAUGCUUAUUAUUCACUGAGUCGGUCGUACGCACCCCUACUCCAUGCACCUUGUGUGUAGAUUCAGGUACACCGGAGGCUUAGCUGAGCACUUGUAGCCUCCAGAUAUUUUUUAGAGUCGUUGAGGUAGCUACUUGACGUUCGCAGGACCUGACUGCUCUUCAUAUUUCAGUUUAUUACUAUUAUGUACAUUUCCAAACUUUCAUAUUGUUAUUCAGCUAUUAUUAUCCAGUUUUGUAUUAGAGGCUCUAGACUCGUGACCCAGAUCAUUUGAGAGUGUUUAUUUAGAUUUGUAUUAUUCUAUUAAUAUUUUUUGGAUUAUUAUUCUAAACUUACUAUAAUUUAUCGAUUUUGAUACUUAGUGUUAAAUUGAAAGCAAUUGUUGGUCAGGUUUUCCUAGCUUUCGGGUUGGGCACCAUCACGACCGGGUUUGGGUCGUGAUGUUAGUGGAGCAAUCCAGAUGGUGCCGAGAACUCUCAGAGCUUCCAGAAGCCACAGGUACAAGGUCCACCCGGAUAUCCGAAUCAAAACCAAGGGCAAUUGAAUUUUUAGCCUUAUCAGCAAGCUGCCCCAUAUCAACAAAGGCCUCAACAAGCUCAUCCAAGUCUUGAUAACCGUAUGUACAAGUACAUUAAGGCCACUGAUGAAAAGAUGAAGAGUCAGACUUCUGCCCUUAAAAAUUUAGAAAUUCAGUUGAGCCAACUGGCCACUCUUGUGUCAGAAAAGAUUCAAGGUCCAUUACCAAGUAAUACAGAGAAAAAUCCAAAGGAGCACCUUAAGACCAUCACCUUACGGUCGAGUAAGGAGUUGGAUGAACUCUAUGCAGACCGAUCAAAACAAUAGGUAAACAACGGUAAGAAUGUUACAUACCCUCUGAACCAUCGAAAAAGAAUGAAGCCAAAAAAACAAAAAAAAAAUAUUGAAAAAUUAACUCCUCUCCCUUUGACUAUUACCUUUCCACAAAAAAUGAAAAGAGAAAAGCUUGACAACCAAUUUGCAAAAAGUUUGGAGAUUUUAUAACAAAUUCACAUCAAUAUUCCUUUUACCGAUGCUUUGUUACAAAUGCCUUCAUAUGCCAAAUUUUUAAAGGAAAUUUUGUGUAGUAAAAAAAAUUAGAAGAAGUUUCCGUUUUAAUGCUUACAGAAAAAUGCAGUGCUAUACUUCAAAAUAAACUACCACAAAAACUUGGUGAUCCAGGUAGUUUUACAAUUCCAUGCACUUUGGGAGGAGUAUAUUUUUAAAAACGCACUUUGUGAUUCUGGAGCUUCAAUAAAUUUGAUGCCAUUUUCUAUAUUUAAAAAGUUAGACAUUGGUGAAGUAAAAGACACAAGUGUUUCUCUUCAAUUUGCAGAUCAAAGUACCAAGAACCCUAAGGGAAUAAUUGAAAAAGUGCUCGUAAGAGUAGAUAAGUUUGUUUUCCCUGUAGAUUUUAUAGUGCUUGAAAUGAAAGAAUGUCCUAAUGAACAAAUAAUUUUAGGUAGACCAUUUCUUGCUACAGGAAGAGCAAUUAUAAAUAUUCAUCAAGGACAACUAAUUUUUAGAGUUGAUGAAGAGAGAGUCAUCUUUGAUAUGCAAAAUAUACUAAGAUAUUAAGGAGAUGAAACACCAUAUUCAUGUUUUUCAAUUGACAUGAUUAAUUAUCUUACAGAUGAAUUCAAAGAUGAUAAAUUAAUUCCAGAUUCAAUAAAAAGAUGCUUGAUCAAAUCAAGCACCUUACAAGACGAUGACCCACCAUCAGAAAAGAAGCGGAAAUACUGGACAAAGAUUUAGAGGAAGAAGAAAUGAAAUCAGAAGAAGUUCAAUAAAAAAUUAAACUCAAAACUCUCCCUUCUCAUUUGAAAUAUGCAUAUCUUUAGAAAGAAUUAUUUCCAGUAAUUAUUUCAUCUUCUCUUACUGCAUAACAAAAAAAUAGUUUGAUUAAAGUAUUGAAAGCACACAAAGGAGUCUUAGGGUGGAUUGUAGAAGAUAUCAAAGGGAUUAGUCCGGCUAUUUGUACACAUAGAAUCCUCAUGGAGGAUAGAUACAAGCAUAUAGUCCAGCCGCAAAGAAGAUUGAAUCCAGCAAUGCAGGAAGUAGUGAAGAAAGAGAUCGUAAAGUUGUUGGCAGCAGGUAUUAUAUACCCCAUUUCUGAUAGCCCGUGGGUAAGUCCCGUUCAAGUAGUACCAAAGAAAGGAGGUACGCCAGUAAUAAAAAUAAAAAUAAGGAGCUCAUACCUACCAGGACUGUUACAGGAUGGAGAGUCUGUAUUGAUUACAGACGUCUCAAUNNNNNNNNNNNNNNNNNNNNNNNNNNNNNNNNNNNNNNNNNNNNNNNNNNNNNNNNNNNNNNNNNNNNNNNNNNNNNNNNNNNNNNNNNNNNNNNNNNNNNNNNNNNNNNNNNNNNNNNNNNNNNNNNNNNNNNNNAUUGAUUACAGACGUCUCAAUGAUGUCACUAGAAAAGAUCAUUUUCCUUUGCCAUUUAUUGAUCAAAUGUUGGAAAGAAUUGCAGGAUAUGAUUUUUGCUGUUUUCUUGAUGGUUAUUCAGGAUAAUCAGAUACCAAUUGCACAAGAAGAUCAAGAUAAGACAACUUUCACAUGCCCUCAUGGAACAUAUAACUAUAGGAGAAUGCCAAUUGGUCUGUGCAACGCCCCUGCUACAUUUCAGCGUUCUAUGUCCGCAAUUUUUGUUGACAUGACUGACAAAUUUCUUGAAAAUUUUAUGGAUGAUUUUACACUAUUUGGCAAAACAUAUAAGGAUUCUCUUAGCCACCUAACCUUAGUUCUUAAAAGAUGUGAAGAAACAAACUUAGUUCUUAAUUGGGAAAAAUGUCAUUNNNNNNNNNNNNNNNNNNNNNNNNNNNNNNNNNNNNNNNNNNNNNNNNNNNNNNNNNNNNNNNNNNNNNNNNNNNNNNNNNNNNNNNNNNNNNNNNNNNNNNNNNNNNNNNNNNNNNNNNNNNNNNNNNNNNNNNNNNNNNNNNNNNNNNNNNNNNNNNNNNNNNNNNNNNNNNNNNNNNNNNNNNNNNNNNNNNNNNNNNNNNNNNNNNNNNNNNUGUUGGUCAUGCAAGUUUUUACAGACGAUUCAUAAAAGAUUUCUCAAAGAUUUCAAAACUGCUGACUAACCUAUUGAUGAAAGGCAUUAAGUUUGAUUUUUCAGGUGAAGUGUGAAAGCGAUUGAAAACCUUAAGGAAAAGUUAUCAACUGCACCUGUAGUUGUGUCCCCUGAUUGGAACCAAUCUUUUGAGGUCAUGUGUGAUGCUAGUGAUGCAGCGGUUGGAGCGGUUUUAGGCCAAAGAAAAGACAGAAUAUUUCGUCCCAUUUACUAUACUAGUAGGACAUUGAGUGACACACAAGUGAAUUAUGCCACGACAGAAAAAGAGUUACUAGCAGUAGUGUUUGCUUUUGAUAAAUUUUGUUCCUAUUUGAUAGGAACAAAGGUCACUAUUUAUACUGAUCAUGCAGCUUUAAAAUACCUCUUAGCUAAGAAAGUUGCUCGACCUAUAUUAUUUAGAUGGAUUUUACUUCUGCAAGAAUUUGCCCUUGAGAUAAAGGACAAGAAAGGAUAGAGAACCAAGUAGCUGACCAUUUGUCUAGAUUAGAAAACCCUCCACUUGAGUUUAAUGAGAUAAAAGAAAAUUUUCUGAUGAACAUAUUUUUUCAGUUAACACAAUUGUGACUCAACCACCCUGGUUUGCAAAUAUAACGAAUUACUUGGUUGGAAAGUGGAUACCGCAAGAUUUCUCUUACCACCAAAGAAAAAGGCUUAUAUCUGAUGCAAAGUAUUAUCUGUGGGACGAACCUUACUUAUUCAAAAAUUGUGCAGAUAAUAUCAUUAGAAGGUGUGUACCUGAAGAAGAUAUGAAUAAAAUUCUAUAUCACUGUUAUGAUGGAGCAACUGGAGGACAUUAUGCAGCAAAUCGAACAGAUUUUAAAGUUUUAGAAGCCAGAUUCUUCUGUCCCACACUCUUCAAAAAUGCCCGAGCAUAUGUAGCACUAUGUGACAGGUUUCAGAGAACAGCUAAUAUCACCAAGAGAGAUGAGAUGCCACUGCAAUCAAUACAGGUAUAUGAAAUAUUUGAUAUUUGGGGAAUAGAUUUUAUGCGUCCUUUUUAUUCUUCUCACUCUGUUGAAUAUAUUCUUGUGGCUGUGGAUUAUGUGUCAAAAUAGGUUGUAAAAUGUGCUCGUACAAUGUGCAAUUUUCUUAGAAAAAAUAGUUUUACAAGAUUUGGCACAUCGCGAGUCAUUAUUAGUGACCAAGGAACUCAUUUUAUCAAUAGACAAUUUUAUGCUUUACUGUAAAAAUAUAAUAUGACUCACAAAACAGGAACACCAUAUCAUGCUCAAACUCAAGGGCAAGUUGAGUUUCCAGCUGCGAGUUAAAAAGAAUUCUUGAAAAAAGGUUGGAAUCUGAAGAAAAGACUGGGCUUUAAAAUUAGAUGAUGUACUAUGGGCGUACUGUACGGCUUUCAAAAUUCCAAUUGGAACAUCUCCAUAUAGAUUAGUCUUUGGAAAAGCAUGUCGUUUGCUCGUAGAAUUAUAACAUAUAGCUUUUUGGGCAUUGAAAGCACUAAACUUUGGUUUAACCUCUACUGGUAAAAAGUGAUUUAUUCAGGUUAAUGAAUUAGAAGAACAGAGGUUGAGAGCCUAUGAAAAUGCUAAAUUUUUUAAAGAAAAAACAAAAAUAUGGCAUGGCAAUUUGAUCCGACCAAAGAGUUUCAGAAUUGGAGAUCAUUUACUUAUUUACAAUAGCCGACUCAGGUUAUUCCCAGGAAAAUUAAAAUCCAGGUGGACAUGUCCUUACAAUGUUGCAAGCGUUACUCCAUACGGGAUAAUAGAAAUUCAUAUAAAUGGAGGAGACAAGUUUAAGGCAAAUGGUCACGGGCUAAAAUUGUACUAUGGAAGACAUUUUGAAGAACAUCCAUCGAUUACUUUGAUAGACUAGUGAAUUCUGCAAUUAAUAAGUCGAGCUGACGACGUUAAACUCAAAACAAAGAUACAAACACCGUAGCCAUUGAGGUAGAAGCAGUGGAGCCUCAUAAUCCCGACAUAGAUUUGGGUAAUUAAAUGCUUAAUCAAUUUAUCUGGUCAAUAUCCAGGUUAUUGUACACCAAAACAUCUCAUGAAGGCCUCUACAAAAAAAAGUCACUUGUGCAUGAGUAACUCCAUGGUGAUCGGUAUGCCUAAGUAACUGUUUGAUUAACCAUUUAAUGAAUCAAUUCAAAAUCUUGGCACAUGUAAAUUUGUUGGUUUGUAUUUAAACCAGGACCAACUAACUAAUAAAGUCUUAAAUUAGUUAGUCUAUUACAUAUAAAUACAUAUGUUGUCACACUCUUUCAAGUUUUUCUUCUCUCUCAUAUGUGUAUAUGUGUGUGUGUAUAUAUAUAUAUAUAUAUAUAUAUAUAUAUAUAUAUAUAUAUAUAUAUAUAUAUAUAUAUGUGUGNNNNNNNNNNNNNNNNNNNNNNNNNNNNNNNNNNNNNNNNNNNNNNNNNNNNNNNNNNNNNNNNNNNNUGUGUGUAUAUAUAUAUAUAUAUAUAUAUAUAUAUAUAUAUAUAUAUAUAUAUAUAUAUAUCCAUCUUUUAUUUUAUUUUUAAUUGUUGUAAUUGUACAAUAUUAAAGUUUUAAAAUAAAAGUUUACAUAUUUUUCAAACAUAAACUUUUUCAUUUAUGCCAUAUAACUUCCUAGUUUGUGAUUUUAUUUUUGUGAAGGAAAGAACGAGUAUCUCCAAAUUUAAGAAAGUGUUGAAAUUGUGAAGCAUUAUGAUCUCAACAGGUAGAAUCAAUAAAAUUUUGUUAGAACUUGCGCCAAAUGUUUAUUAAGGCGAAAUUCUAGAGAACACUAUAUUAGAAUGAAAUUAGGCUUUCUUUGACACCCUAUUUAGCCUAUCUAUUUUUUUACCAUAAAUAUUGAUAUUUUACCUUUUAGCACCCAACUUUGAGCCAAAAGAAAAGAAGAAAAAGAAAAAAGAGGGAUAAACCAACUUUUAUUGAUGCACCAUAUUGGUUAUCUUACAAAAACAUUAAUACUACUCCUUCCGGACAAUGUUGAGCACAAAUGAUUAUUAAAGCAAGCGAUGAAGGAGUUGAAAAGGCUCAUCAAAAGAGGAGUUAAAAGUUUUUGGCAAACAAAAGAAGAAGAAGAAACAAGGUAAAUAUUUGGCAACUUGAAAAACUUAUUGUUUUGAAUUUUAUGUGAAAUUUUGUUUUUUUUUACUUUUCUACUCUACAAGAAACAAUAAUUAUUAAUAAAAUUACUGCCUCGAGGACUAGCAAAAAUUCAAGUGCAGGGGAGUUUGAUGGCUAUAAAAUAUUCAUAUAUUAUAACUUUAAAAAAAUUAUUUUAUAUUAAAUUUUAUUUAUAUAUAUAUAUAUAUAAUAUGUCAAUUAUCUGUAUUUUCUAAUAGUAUUUUGCAGGAAAUAAAAAUACCAUGAUAAGGAAAAUAAAGGAAUAAAAAAAGAAGAACGAGGCAACAUGGCCAAAAAAGGACGAGGCAUCGCGGCAAAAGAAGCACAAGGCAUCAUGGCAAAAGAAGCAUGAGGCAAAAUGGAACCUUAUGGUAUUUGAUUUCUAUAAAUAUGUGACGAUCCAAAGGGUCAUCACCGUAAUUCUCUAUUUCUUCGAGCUUCUGAGGCCUAAAAACCUCUUAUUUGGUUGCCUCGAUUUGCAUGCGCAGUCCGGGCGCGAAGCUGGAAAAUUUUUAUGUGGAAAUAUUUAAAUUCUAUGUUAAAACUAUGAAUUUUGAUAAUAAUAUUGCUAUAGUUGACUUUGGUCAUUAUUUUGGGUAAACGGACUCGGACCCAUAAUGUGACAGUUCUGGAGGGUCCGUAAGGAAAUUUGGGACCUGGGCGUAUUCCCGGAAUCAAAAUCCGAGGUCCCAAGCCCGAGUACGGAACUUUUCUGUGAAAUUAUUUUCUGAAAAUGCUUGAGGAAAAAUAAAAAUACAAAUUGAUCAAAAAUAAUGGUAUCAGGCUCGUAUUUUGGUUCCUACGCACUGUACAAGUCUUAAAUGAGCAUUAAGCGCUAUCUGUAAAGUUUGCUUGAAAAUGGACGUCAUUUGACGUGUUUCGGACUAAAAAUGAAAAAUUUAAACGUUUUGAACUUUGAAAUGAAGAUCAUGAGUUUUGGAGGUUGAUUCUUUGAUUUUAAUGUUAUUUUGGAGAUUUGAUCGCACAAAUGAGUCCGUAGGAUGUUUUUGAGGUUGGGUCCCUUUUUAGGUUGGAGCCCCCAGAGCUCGGAUGAGUUUCGGAUAGGUGUUAGGCUCAUUUUGAAGCAUUUCAACAGUUGGUUUCUGCAGUCUUUGCAUUUGCGAAUCAGUCUUCGCAAAUGCGAGCCUUCCCCUUUGGCCUGCUUCUUCGAAAAUGCGAGGAAAAUCUCGCAAAUGCGAUUCCCCUUUUUGAAGCCAUUCGCAAAUGCAAAGGAAUCUUCGCAAAUGUGAUUCCCCCCUUUGCAGUCCAGUCUUCGCAAAUGCGAAGACAUUCUCGCAAAUACGAAGCCCCGUCAAUUUUGCCCUCUUCACAAUUGCAAUUUAUUUCUCGCAAUUGCGACAUCCAUUAUUCUCUGCAUUCUUCGCAAUUGUGAACAAAACCUCGCAAUUGCGACAUCUGCGACUGUGCAACCUAUACUUAGACGAUUACAAACUUCAUUUUUUCAUAAUUUCAAAACCCAAACCUCCAUUGGCGAUUUUCUCUCGACUCUUUCUCUCCCAAAUCACUUGUAAGUCAACGUUUACUCAAUUUCUUCAAACUUUAACAUCUUUUAAUAUGAUUUCAACUUAAAAUCAAAGCUUUCAAUGGGUAAAAAUGGGGAUUUGGGGUAGAACCUAAGUUUUCAUAAAAUUGGGGAUUUGGACCUCAAUGGGGUCCUAUUCAAAACAAAUUGCAUAUAUGAACUCGUGGGGAAAUGGAUAACCCGAUUUUGGUGCGAACCUCGAGUUUUGACCACGUGGGACCAGGGGCAUUUUGGUAUUUUUGGGUAAAACUUUGGAAGUUUCAUUCUUAUGCAUUCAAAUUGAUUUAACUAGCCUUUGUUGAUACAUUUGAGUAAAAUUGUGGUUAGAUUCGACCGGUUUUGAGGCGAAUUCGAGGGGUAUAGCUAUUCUAGAGGCGUGAGUUAAGUUUUGAAGCUUUCGAGUUAAGUGUUUGAUCUAACUUUGGCUUGAGGGAAUAGGAUUAGGAUGAUAUUUGCUAUGGUCAAUAUGGAGUCGGUACAUAGGUAUGGUGAUGGUUACCUAUGCACCCGAGUCUAGCAUGACCGUGAGUCAUAAUCACUAUUAAAAUAUCGAAAGAAGUGGACGAUUGUGAUAAUUACUUGUUAAAUGAACUACGAAGUGAUAGAUUAGAAGAAAAUGAACUAAAGAAGGAAUUUUGGUAUUUUCCCUUGCCAGGACAUAUUAUUGAGCUGUUUUCCCUUGCCGGGACUUAUUGUUGAGUUGUAUUCCCUUGUUGGGAUUUAUCCCUUGCCGGGAUAUUUUGUCUUGUUAUAUAUUCCUUUCCCUUUUGGUUGUGACCAUUGAUUGGGUGAGAAAGAGAGAUUAAAAGCACGAAUAGUGAUGCCGUGCACUAUGUGUUGAGAGUAAAAGAACGAAGAGUGAUGUCGUGCACUGUAUAUUGAGAAUAAAAGCACGAAGGGUGACGUCGUGCAUUAUAUUUGACGGUCUUGGUGAGAAAUGAGAGUAAAAGCACAGAGGGUGAUGUCAUGCACUAUAUUUGACAGAUUUGUUGAGAAAUGAGAGUAAAAGCACGAAGGGUGGUGUCGUGCAGUUGUUGAUUCACUGGUUUUUCUCUAAUUAUUAUUAUAUAUUCAGUUCUAUUUCCUGUUUGUUGAAGUUAUAAUUGAACUGUUACACCACCAGCAUGUCCUCUCCACAUUAUCUGUUUAAAUUCAUGUUCUCUUUCUGUUAUUGCACAUAUAUAUGUACAGGUUAAUUGUGGUAGGUCCGGUUUAGCCUCGUCACUACCUCGCCGAGGUUAGGCCGAGCACUUACCAGCCUAUUAUUUCACAUAUAUCUGCACAGGUUGUUUGUGGUAGGCUCAGUUUAGCCUCGUCACUACCUCGCCGAGGUUAGGCCGGUCACUUGCCAGCACAUGGGAUCGGUUGUGCUGAUACUACACUUCUGUGCCUUUUUGUGCACAGGUCAGGACAUAGCUUACGGACCGCAGCAGUAGUUAGGGAGCGAUCCUUCAGUCCAGAGACGUCGAGGUAGUUCUCUAGCGUUUGCGGGCCCUGAGUCUCCUCUAUCUCUUCCAGUUUGUUUUCAUUGUAUCAAAAUAGACAUGUUAUGUAUUUCUUUUAGACAGUUGUUUUUAGUACUCUUUUAGUCGUCCGUGAGUAGUGACACGAGAUACUAGGUAGAGGCAUAUUAUUAAUUUCUGCACUUUAUUUUUGCUAAUGUUGCUAAAAUUCUUCUGCGUGAUUUUAUUUAAUUAAUUCAGUACUUAAUUGUUUUAGAUUAAAGUUUUUAUCAAAAUAAUUAAAAGGGUUGGCUUGCCUAGCUUCGACAGUAGGCGCCAUCACGACUCCCGAUAGUGGGAAGAUCCGGGUCAUGACAAGUUGGUAUCAGAGUACUAGGUUACUUGGGUCUCAUAACUCAUGGAAAAACUCGGUAGAGUUUGAGGGAUCGGUACGGAGACACCUCUAUUUAUCCCCUAGAGGCUACAGGGUUAGGAAAAUUUCACUUUGUUCUUUCUUGUCGUGCGUUUCCGUUGCUCAAAAACCUAUUGAAUUUAUACUCUAUUCUUUCGCAGAUGGCGAGAACAUGUGCUUCCUCUUUUACCACGCAGCAAUCGAGUCUCCAACAGCAGCUACUAUCAGAGGUAUAGGGCGAGGCCGAGGCCUGGGUAGAGCUCAGCCUCGAGCAGCCGUCCUAGAGGUGGAGCCUCAUGUUGACUACGAUGAGGAGGUUCCAGCUCCAGUCAUUCCGGUGGGCCCAUCCCAAAGGGGUUCAUAGACACCCAAGUUCGUCAGGACGCUUUAGUCCGAUUAGUGGAUCUUAUGGAGGGUGUUAUUCGAGCGGGUUUGCUUCCAGGGUCUCAGCCAGUGAUAGUAGGUCAGCCGGGUGCAGCGGCUCAGACUAGGAGUGAGGUCCCUUUUCAGAAGAUGGCCAAUGAGGGCGGUUGAGUUGAGGUGGUACUGCCACAGGGAGGCGGUCAUCGAUCGGAUAAGAGGCCCCGUCAUGCAGGCCGAUUCAGUGGUACCUCUUCUGGAGGUAGAGGUUCUUAUGGUAGUGGCCAUCCUUCCAGGCCCUUUAAGGCAGUUUCCCAUGUCGCUCAUGGUAGUUCAGGUGGCCGAUCGGGCUAGCCCUAGUUUCCUCAGUUGCAGCGUGUUUGUAGAUUUUACAAGUGUGGCAAGUAUGUACACCUCAGGGGGCCUGCCCAAGGCUGAGGGGUACUCUUCCGUGACAGCCGAGGUUCUACCAUGCUUGUGGUGAUUAGGCCUUUUCAGCCAGUUUCCUCUGUCACUCAUGGUACUUCAGGUGGUCGACCGGGUCAGCCCUAGUUUCCUCAUCUGCAUCAUUCGGUUUGAUGUUAUGAGUGCGGUGAGCUUGGUCACAACAGGAGGAUUUGCCCAAGGUUGAGGGAUUCUUCGCCGUGUUUUUCCGAUCAACAGUCUUUUCGCUCACCAUCACCACCAUUCAAAGCACCACCACUUCGUUAUUCCCAGCGGUCGAGAGCUUGCUUCACGUGUGGCGACCUGAGGCACAUUUCCAAGUAUAGCCCUCGAGCUUCUAGCAACUCUCAGCAUCAGAUUCUCGUGCUAUGACUCAGGCACCGGAGGUUUUCCAGCCUACCCAACCGGCUAGAUGUGGAGGUAGAGGUCUUAGAGGUGGAGUUCAUACCACCAGCAGUAGGGAUCAGCCAGUGGCCAGUUUGGAGGUUGAGACUUCAGAUGCAGACAUUACAAUAUUGUCCUGAUUUGUAUUAAAGAUGCCUCAGUGCUAUUUGACCCUAAAUCUACGUAUUCAUAUGUUUCGUCCUAUUUUGCACCCCUAUUUGGUUAUGCCUAGUUAGGCCUUGGGUUUUCUAUAUAUGUGUCGGCGCCCGUGAAUGGUUCUAAGGGGGUGGAUCGGGUGCAUCAUUCCUGUGUAGUAGUAUUUAGGGGUCUUGAGAUUCGUGUCGCCUUAUUGCUCUUACAUAUGAUGGAAUUUGACGUCAUAUUGAGGAUGGAUUAGUUGUCCCCGACAUUUAGAGUGAAAAAGGGAUUUUAGAUCAUCCGACCCGCAGUGUGAUAUUGUAUGUGAAGGCUCGACGCAUGGCUAAGAAAGGGUGUUUAGCUCAAUUUGUGUAUGAUUGCGACUCCACCGCAGAGGUUAGUUCCAUUGGUUCUGUUUCUAUUGCUCGGGAUUUUCCCCGAGGUUUUCCCUUCAGACUUGUCAGGCACGCCGCCUAACAGGGAUAUCGACUUUUGUAUUUAUCUGGCACUGGAUACUCAGCCUAUUUCUAUUCCGUCAUAUCGCAUGGACCCGCCAGAGUUGAAAGAGUUGAAAGAGCAGCUUCAGGACUUGCUUGAUAAGGGUUUUAUUAGACCCAGUGUAUCACCNNNNNNNNNNNNNNNNNNNNNNNNNNNNNNNNNNNNNNNNNNNNNNNNNNNNNNNNNNNNNNNNNNNNNNNNNNNNNNNNNNNNNNNNNNNNNNNNNNNNNNNNNNNNNNGGACUUGCUUGAUAACGGUUUUAUUAGACCCAGCGUAUCACCUUGGGUGCACCAGUGUUGUUUUUGAAGAAAAGGGACGGGUCGAUGAGGAUGUGUAUUGAUUACCGGCAGUUGAACAAGGUGACAAAAAAGAACAAGUAUCCACUGUCAAGGAUUAAUGAUUUGUUUGACUAGCUCUAGGGUGCCAGGGUGUUCUCGAAGAUAGAGUUGAGGUCUGGUUAUCAUCAACUGAGGAUUAGGGCGUCUGAUAUCCCUAAGACAGCAUUUCGUACUCGGUAUAGGCAUUAUGACUUUUUGGUCAUGUCGUUUGGAUUGACCAAUGCCCCGGCAGCAUUCAUAGAGUUGAUGAACCGAGCGUUCAGGCCUUAUUUGGAUUUAUUUGUGAUUGUAUUCAUUGACGACAUCUUGGUAUACUCCCACAGCCAGGAGGAGCAUGAGCAGCACCUCAGAGUGAUUCUUCAGACUCUGAAGGAUAGCUACUUGUACUCCAAGUUCUCAAAGUGAGAAUUUUGGUUGAGUUCAGUCGCAUUCCUAGGUCAUGUUGUAUCAGCAUAGGGUAUUCAGGUGGACCCGAAGAAGAUAGAGGCAGUCAAGAACUGGGCUCGACCAGCUUCAGCUACAGAGAUUCGGAGCUUCUUGGGGUUAGCUGGUUACAACAGACAUUUCGUGGAGGGGUUUUCAUCCAUUGCAGCCCCCAUGGCUAGAUUAACCCAGAAGGGUGACCAGUUCAGGUGGUCAGAUGAGUGCGAGGCGAGCUUCCAGAAGCUCAAUACAGCUCUGACUACAGCACCGGUAUUGGUUUUGCCCAUGGGAUCUGGAUCUGGGCCUUAUACUGUGCAUUGUGAUGCUUCCCGCAUCGGGCUUGGCACAGUGUUGAUGCAGAAUGGCAAGGACAUUAGCAUAUGCUUUGAGGCAGUUGAAGAUCCACGAGAAGAAUUAUCCAGUCCAUGACCUAGAGUUUGAAGCCAUUUUUCAUGCCUUUAAGAUCUGGAGGCAUUAUUUGUAUGGUAUGACGUGUGAGGUGUACACAGAUCACAAGAGCCUUCCGUACUUGUUCAAGUAGAAUGAGUUGAAUUUGAGACAGCGGAGGUGGUUGGAGUUGUUGAAACAUUAUGAUGUUUCUAUUCUAUACCACCCGAAAAAGGCUAAUGUGUGGCUGAUGCAUUGAGUAGAAAGUCCGCCAGCAUGGGUAGUCUUGCAUAUAUUCCGGUCAGCCAGAAACCGCUUGCCCUUGGAUGUUCAGGCCUUGGCCAAUGGAUUUGUGAUUGGAUAGUUCUGAGCCCAGCGAGGUGUUAGCUUACACGGUUGCUUGUUCAUCAUUGAUGGAGCGUAUCCGGGAGCGGCAGUUUGAUGAUCCCCAUUUGUGUGUCCUGAGAGACUCGGUGCAGCGGGGAGUGCCAGUGAUAUGACUUUGGGAGAUGAUGGCAUAUUGAGGUUGCAGGGGCGAGUCUGUGUGCCCAAUGUUGAUGGUAUUCGAGAGUUGAUCUUAACGGAGGCCCAAAGUUCUCGGUAUUCUAUUCACCCAGGCGCUGCGAAGAUGUAUCGGGAUUUGAGACAGCAUUAUUAGUUGCGCAGAAUAAAGAAAGACAUUAUUGCAUAUGUGGCUCGUUGUCUGAAUUAUCAGCAGGUUAAGUGUGAGCAUCAGAGGCCCGGUGGGUUAUUUCAAAGGAUUGAACUUCCUGAGUGGAAGUGGGAGAGAAUCACCAUGGAUUUUGUUACUGGCCUUCCGAUGACUCGGAAGAAUUUUGAUUCUAUAUAGGUUAUUGUUGAUAGGCUGACCAAGUCAGCGCAUUUUAUCCCAAUUGCCACCACCUAUUCAUCCGAGAGGUAUGCUGAGAUUUAUAUCAGAGAGAUAGUUCGCCUUCAUGGGGUGCCCAUAUCUAUUAUUUUGGACCGGGGUACGCAGUUACCUCGCAUGUCUAGAGAGCGGUGCAGCAUGAGUUAGGCACCCAGGUCUAGUUGAGUACAGUAUUUCACCCCCAGACGGAUGGUCAGCCCGAGAGGACCAUUCAGAUUCUUGAGGAUAUGCUCCGAGCCUGCUUUAUUGAUAUUGGAAACUCGUGGGAUCAGUUCUUGCCAUUAGCAAAGUUUUCCUACAACAACAGCUACCAGCCCAGUAUCCAUAUGGCUCCAAAUGAGGCGUUGUAUGGUAGGCGGUGUCGGUCCCCAGUCGGAUGGUUUGAGUCGGGAGAGGCUCACUUAUUGGGUACAGAUUUGGAAUAUGAGGCCUUGGAUAAGGUCAAGGUCAUUUAGGACAGACUUCGGUAAGCUCAGUCUAGGCAGAAGAGUUUUGCAGAUCGUAAGGUCAGGGACGUUGCUUUCAUGGUUUGUGAGCAGGUAUUGCUCCGUGUAUCGCCUAUGAAGGGUGUGAUGAGUUUCGGGAAGAAGGGCAAGCUUAGUCUUAGGGAUAUUGGCACAUUUGAGAUUCUUUACCAUGUAGGGAAGGUGGCUUAUAGACUUGCAUUGCCGCCUUUUUGUCACUUGUGCAUUCGGUUUAUCAUGUAUCCAUGCUUCGGAAGUAUAACUUUGAUCUUGCCCACGUGUUAGAUUUCAGUACUGUCCAAUUGGACAAGGAUUUGUCAUAUGAGGAGGAUCCGGUGGCUAUUUUAGACCCGCAGGUUCGAUAGUUGAGGUCGCAGAGUUUUCCUUCAGUGCGUGUUCAGUGGAGAGGUUAGCCUUCUGAGGCAUCGACCUGGAAGUCCGAGUCUGAUAUGGGGCCGUUAUCCCCAUCUAUUCCUAGACUCACGUACUUCUUUCUUUUUUCUUUUCGAGGAGGAACGGUUAUUUUAGAGGUAGGAUGUGACGACCCAAUGGGUCAUCACCAUAAUUCUCCCUUUCUUCGUGCUUUCGAGGCCUUAAAAACCUCUUAUUUGGUUGCCUCGAUUUACGUGCACAGUCAGGGUGCGAAGCCAGAAAUUUUUUUGUGGAAAUAUUUGAAUUAUGUGUUAAAAACUAUGAAUUUUGAUAAUAAUAUUGCUAUAUUUGACUUUGGUCAACAUUUUGGGUAAAUGGACUCGGACCCGUGAUGUAAUAGUUCCGGAGGGUCCGUAUGGAAAUCAACAUUUUGGGUAAAAGGACCCAGACCUGUGAUAUGACGGUCCCGGAGGAUCCGUAAGGAAAUUUGGGACCCAUGCGUAUUCCCAAAAUCGAAAUCCAAGGUCUAAGGCCCGAGUACGUAACUUUUCUGUGAAAUUAUUUUCUGAAAAUGCAUAUGCAUAAAUGAAAAUGAAAAUUGAUUAAAAGUAAUAGUAUCGGGCUCGUAUUUUGGUUCUGACACCCGGUACAAGUCUUAAAUGAGCUUUAAGAGCUAAAAUUUGGUUGAAAACGGCAUUUCGAACUUAAAAUAGAAAAUUUGAAAGUUUUGAACUUUGAAAUGAAAAUCAUGAGUUGUGGAGGUUGAUUCUUUGAUUUUGAUGUUAUUUUGGCGAUUUGAUCUCACGAGUGAGUACGUAGGAUGUUUUUGAGGUUGGGUGCAUGUUUGGGUUGGAGCCCCGAGGGCUCGGAUGAGUUUUGGAUAGGUGUUAGGCUCAUUUUGAAGCAUUUCAAUAGCUGGUAUCUGCAGUCUUUGCAUUUGCGAAGCAAUCUUCGCAAAUGCGAGCCUUCCCCUUUGGCCUGCUUCUUUGCAAAUGCGAGGAAAAACCCGCAAAUGCGAUUCCCCCUUUCAGACCAGUCUUCGCAAAUGCGAAGAUGGCCUGCUUCUUCGCAAAAUGCAAGGAAAAUCUCACAUAUGUGAUUCCCCUUUUUAAAUCCAGUCUUCGCAAAUGCGAAGGAAUCUUCGCAAAUGCGAUUUCCCCCUUUGCAGCCUAGUCUUCACAAAUGCGAAGCCCGUUCAAUUUUUCCCUCUUCGCAAUUGCGAUUUAUUUCUCGCAAUUGUGACAUCCGUUAUUCUCUGCAUUCUUCGCAAUUGCGAACAAAACCUCGCAAUUGCGACAUCUGCGACUGUGCAACCUAUACUUAGACUAUUUCAAAAUUCAUUUUUUCAUAUUUUCAAAACCCAAACCUACAUUGGCGAUUUUCUCUCGACUCUUUCUCUCCCAAAUCACUUGUAAGUCAUUGUUUACUCAAUUUCUUCAAACUUUAAGAUCUUUUAUCAUGAUUUCAACUUAAAUCCAAAGUUUUCAAUGGGUAAAAAUGGGGAUUUGGGGUAGAACCUAGGUUUUCAUAAAAUUGGGAAUUUGAACCUCAAUUUGAGGUCCGAUUUCAAAACAUAUUACAUAUAUGAACUUGUGGGGGAAUGAGUAACCCAAUUUUGGGUCGAUCCUCGAGUUUUGACCACGUGGGCCCGGGGGAAUUUUGGGAAUUUUUGGGUAAAACUUUGGGAGUGUCAUUCUUAUUCAUUCAAAUUGAUUUAACUAGCAUUUGUUGAUAUAUUUGAUCAAAUUGUGGUUAGAUUUGACCGGUUUUGAGGCGAAUUCGAGCGUUAAAGCUAUUCUAGAGGUGUGAGUUGAGUUUGGAAGCUUUCGAGGUAAGUGUUCGAUCUAACUUUGGCUUGAGGGAAUAGGAUUAGGAUGAUAUUUGCUAUGGUCAAUAUGGAGUCGGUACAUAGGUAUGGUGAUGGUUACCUAUGCACCCGAGUCUAGCAUGACCGUGAGUCAUAAUCACUAUUAAAAUAUCGAAAGAAGUGGACGAUUGUGAUAAUUAUGAGGUAUAGGUAUGGUGACGGUUACCUAUGCGCCCGAUUCUAGCAUGACCAUGAGUCAUAAUUACUAUUAAAAUGUCGAAAUAAGUGGACAAUUGUGAUACUUACUUGUUAAAUGAACUAUGAAGUGAUAGUUGAGAAGCAAAUGAACUAAAGAAGGAAUUUUGGUAUUUUUCCCUUGCCGGGACUUAUUGUUGAGAUAUUUUCCCUUGUUGGAACUUAUUGUUGAGCUGUAUUCCCUUGCCGGGACUUAUUGCCCUUGCCGGGACAUAUUGUUGAGCUAUUUUCCCUCGCCGGGACUUAUGGUUGAGCUGUAUUCCCUUGCUGGGAUUUAUUUUUGAGUUAUUCUCCCUUGCGGGGAUAUUUUGUCUUGUUAUAUAUUAAUUUCCCGUUUGGUUGUGACCAUUGAUUGGGUGAGCAAGAGAGAGUAAAAGCACGAAGGGUGAUGCCAUGCACUAUAUGUUGAGAGUAAAAGCACGAAGGAUGAUGUCGUGCACUGUAUAUUGAGAGUAAAAGCAUGAAGGGUGAUGCCGUGCAUUGUAUUUGUCAGUCUUGGUGAGAAAUGAGAGUAAAAGAACGAAGGGUGAUGUCGUGCACUAUAUAUGACAGAUUUGGUGAGAAAUUAGAGUAAAAGCACGAAGGGUGAUGUCGUGCAAUUGUUGAUUCACUGGUUUUUCUCUAAUUAUUAUUUUAUAUAUUCAGUUCCAUUUCCUACUUGUUGAAGUUAUAAUUGAGCUGUUACACCCCCAGUAUGUCCCCUCCCCAUUAUUUGUUUAAAUUCAUGUUCUCUUUCUGUUAUUGCACAUAUAUCUGUAGAGGUUGAUUGUGGUAGGUCUUGUUUGGCCUCGUCACUACCUCGCCGAGGUUAGGCCGGGCACUUACCCGUACAUGGGGUCGGUUGUACUGAUACUACACUUCUGUUCCUUUUUGUGCACAGGUCAGGACAUAGCUUACGGACCGCAGCAGUAGUUAGGGAGCGAUCCUUCAGUCCAGAGACUCCGAGGUGGUUCUCUAGCGUUCACGGGCCCCAAGUCUCCUCUAUCUCUUCCAUUUUAUUUUCAUUGUAUCAAAACAAACAUGUUAUGUAUUUCUUUCAGACUGUUGUUUCUAGUACUCUUUUAGUCGUCCGUGAGUAGUGACACCAGAUACUGGGUAGAGGCAUGUUAUUAAUNNNNNNNNNNNNNNNNNNNNNNNNNNNNNNNNNNNNNNNNNNNNNNNNNNNNNNNNNNNNNNNNNNNNNNNNNNNNNNNNNNACACCAGAUACUGGGUAGAGGCAUGUUAUAAAUUUCCUCACUUUAUCUUUGCUAUUGUUUCUAAAUGUCUUCUGCGUGGUUUUAUUUAAUUAAUUCAGUACUUAAAUUGCUUUAGAUUAAGGUUUUUAUGAAAAUGAUUAGAAGGGCUGGCUUGCGUAGCUUGAAUAGUAGGCGCCAUUACGACUCCCGAUGGAGGGAAGAUCCGGGUCGUGACAAAAAACAUGUCAUAUUUUUGUUGAAAGAAGGAAGAUCAUACAUACCUAGCAAAAUAACUUUUCUCUAGAUUUAGUCUUUACUUCUUUCUUUAUAUAUCUACUUUAUCUUGUAGUGUUUUGGAUAAGAGUGUUGAUAUUAUUUUAAGAAUUCCUUUCUUUGUGAGAUUUAAGCACUUCAUAAUAAAGUAAUCUCUUUUGUUGGGAUAGUUGAUGAAGCUCGAUACCGUUGUAAUAUGUGAGAUUUAGAUACUCCAUAAUGGAGUAAUCUCUUUUAUUUGUGAUAGUUGAUAAAGCUCGAUAUCGUUAUAAUAUUAAUCUCAAUUCUACUACAUGAUUGACCUGAAACUUUCUAUAUAUUUCUAUGUUGUGCUGGAAUGUUAGUUUUAAUUAUUAUCACUUCUAUCUAUUUAUUCUCCAAAUUUAGUUGUAUGUCAAUUAUGUCGUUCUCACGAAGCAAAAUUAAUAUACGAUAUCUAUUGGGUAACAUAAUAGAGUGAGAGUAAAUUCUUUUUAAGCUAUCAUUCCAAAUCUGUAAUCUUGCUUACUUCCAUUCUAAUUCUCACGGAGGAGUUUUAGUUAGCAAGAUUAUUGUUUUUUAGUAAAAAGUAAUCGCAAGAGGUUUUUACUAUCUUAUAGCACAAUUCAGGCAAGAAAANNNNNNNNNNNNNNNNNNNNNNNNNNNNNNNNNNNNNNNNNNNNNNNNNNNNNNNNNNNNNNNNNNNNNNNNNNNNNNNNNNNNNNNGUCACGAGUCAUAUAUCAAUUGAUUUACAUAAUUCUCACGGAGUGUUAUUAAUUGAUUAUUUCUUGGUGAGAAAAUAUAAUUGUAUUAGCAAUAAACAAUUAUUCCUAAGAGAAAUACACGUAGAACCUAAGAUUUUAUUAUUAUCACACUAUCGAGUGAAUUCAAUGAUUCCCAACUCUAUUUAAAUAUAAAUCUUCCGAAAGUUAUUUUGUUUCAACUUAAGAAAUUUAGAUUUUUAACAAACAAAAACUUCAUCAAUUUGAUUCUCUCAAAUAGUAGUAAGAUUAUUAUAAGUUUGUAGCUAGAUUUUCCAAUCUCUCUGGGGCGAUAUCUUAAAUUAUAUUAGAAUUUGACUAAGCACGAGCAGGAAAAUCCAAUACACAUUGGCCUCAUCAACAACAAUAGCCACUGUUAAAAUUAUAUUAACAAUAUUUAUGGAGUUUCAAAAAAUCCAACAACAAAACGUUUCACUAGUUAAAACUUUAAACAUCAUUCAAUGAGUGUUUUGAACUAUAUCAUCUUCAUCUCCACUACUAGAACCUUCAUCGUCGGCACGAUUCAAAUGAUCACGAUGAGAAGUAUUAGCAUUUGGGGAAGACUCUGGAGACCGGAAAAUUGGGAAAGCACCACUAGCAAGAAGAUUGGCCAGUUGACCUUGAAGGGCAUUAAAUUGUUCGUCCCUCUUUUCUAGCUGACCAUGAAGGGUUUCAAAUUGUUUAUAUCUCCUUUCUUCUCUAGCCUUUGCCUCUUAAAGCUCUGUUGACAGCUUUGCGAUCUUCUUCCCCAAAGUCGAGAGAGUCGACCUAUCAAGUGCCUCGCCCUGGGCGGAAAUCCCUAUACCUUGCAAUCCAACCUUGUAGCAUCAAAACUAUCUCUCUGGAAGGACGUAUGCUACACUGACAACAUCUAACCAUAUCUUCUGUGCUUCUUCAUUGGAAAUGAAAGGUCGCCGCCUUGCUCAUUCACUGACAAGCUCUAACUGUACUCCUCCACAGUAGUCCUGUAGAGACCCUUUAUUUAGAAGAUAAAAAAAUUAUUAACUAUAUAGUGCUAUAAACAUUAUUUUUAAUUUAUAGUAGUUAUGAAACUUACAUAUGUAGUCUCCGCCAAGUACUUGACCCAUCUACUUGGAUAUGUCGGUGCCUUCUUCUUUUGGAUGUGAGUCUCCAUGAAGAACUCAUCAUGAAUCAUCUUUAUCCCUUAUUUUUUUUCUGGCAAAUAUAAUAAAAUAUGUUAACUAAAUUAAAAUAUAUAAAUAUGUUUCCUUAAAAAUUGAUUUAAAUGUUUUAAGGAAUUACCAAGAGUCUCUUCACAGUCCCCAUGCUCCUUGUACCCACACAGUGUAAGUAGCCACCCUUCUCAAAUGCUCAGGCCUUCUUUCAUUGUUCACUCCUCUUCUCGAAUUUCUCAAUGGUCCAGUGACUGAGUAGAUCCUCCCAUAAAUGAGGUAGAAUCCAUGAAGGUUUCUUUUUCUUCUUCAGAGCAGAACUGAAGGAAUCAGAUAGUAUCUUAUGGCAUUUGAACUUAAAAUUUGCCAGAAUGGAACUGUUAUACCGGUCCUCCCAGGCAUACAUAAUUUUUAAAUGAAGUGUGUAACAUUAUAUAAUAAUAUUAUUAAUAGUGGUUAAACAAAUGAGAAUUUUAUUAAAAUCUUAAAUUGGUUGAAAAUUUGCUCUACGAGCUCCAGUGAAAAUCCCUCCAAGUCGCAUAGGGUGCAUCAUAUAACCGGCUAAGAGCUGGAUUGAUUAUCUUUGUUAUCUGAUGACUAUGUAUGAACCUGCAACGUAGCAAUUAUAUUAAAUAAACAAGACUAGCUAUAAUUCACUUCAGGCCUAAAGAUCAUCCUAUGAUAACGAUUAGACCACACUUCUCUGGAUCAUCAUCCUCCAUUGUAUCUGAAGCAUGCGUAGAAGGGAAGGCAUCUAGCUCAGCAUCCUGAAGGCGAAGUCUAGAAAUACUAGGAGAUGAAAUCUGUGGAGAGGGAGACUGGGUCGCCGAUGAAUAUGGAUGUGAUCUAGACCCCUACUGCGAUCCAGACCCCUGCUCUGAUCCGAGUGGUUGUAAUCUAGAUGGAUAAGAUCCAGCUGGUGUUGAAUCAAAUGGAGAAAAUGAUGUGUGUAUCACUACAUGGCCCUAUGACUACUGACUCGGUGUGCCCGUGUAACUAUAUGGAGGAUUAUAUGGAGGAAGCGAGGUAUACCCCUAUGGUGGAGAAUGGUAAGAAUACUGCUGGGAGAGAGACUGGUAGGUAGUCUAAUAAGUAGAUGGAUGUGGUGGAAACAAUUUGCCCUAGAAGAUUGUUGCCGACCAUCAACAAUGGAGGGAUGCAAGUGCGGAGUGGAAGGAAGAGAAGGUAUAGCACUAUCCUCAUGAUCAAUAGGCCUCUUAUCCUUCCUAGACCUACCUCAACCCCUAUCGAUCAUCUGAUAAAUUAAAAAAAUAUUAGAAUUGAGAAUAUAAAUCUAUAUAAGUUGUGAACUCUUGAAAAAAAAGUAACAUGCUUGUCAUCUUUGAAAAUCCUUCCUCGUUCGAGAAUUCUUCCUCUUCACUUAUUUCAUUUUCAUCAUGUGAUUCUUUUUCCUCAUUUUUUGUGAUUAUUAUUUCCUCCAUAUUAACUUCUUCUAUUAUUCAUUGAGGAUUCUCCAAAAAUCAUUUUCUAACUGAUCAUCCACCGUUUAGUUAACACUUGAGUAUUAUUUUGGUAAGCAACAUCUAGCACAUUCUCAACGUUCAUCCUACCAACAUGCUUAGUUUUGACUACAACCAACCAUAAAACCUUAUCCCUCUACAAUGGAUAUGGAGCAUAAUAAACUUGUCUAAAAUUUUGUCACGACCCAAAUUUUUCCUCCAUUGGGUGUCGCGAUGGCACCUAGUCUUAGGGACUAGAUAAAACUAACAUUAAUUGAAACAACAACAAUAUUUAAAUAACAUCUAAUAAUUUGGAAUAGAAUUCUAUUUGAAAUUUACAAUCCCAAAACUGGUAGUUCAAGUCAUAAGCUCUACAGAGUGUUUACUAGAAAAUUUCUAAAUAUAACUGUUCAGAAAUAAGGAUAAACGGUGCAAUACAAAAACUAGAAGGCGACUCCAAAGCCUGCAAACGCAGCAGCAGGUUUACCUUGAGUCUCUACAACAAUAAUCGGUAAAACUACUAACGAUCAAAAUGUAAGGCCCCGUGAAAAUGAGUGAUCAGAUGUUAGCAGCUCAUAGAGUCGAGUCUACGUGCGUGGAUCGGAUUCUUUUUAUUGUUUUACACUUAAAAAGGUGAAACCAAAAUUUUUCCAGAAAUUGUCAAAAUGCGGUCCAGAAGGCGGUCGCACAUCAGCUAUGCGGACCGCAUUCCUACCGCAUAGUGAAUCAUAAAGCAACCAAUUUUUUAUGUUAAAAAUGCGGUCAGAUUUGCAGUCGCAUAAUCAAUAUGCGGACCGCAUAUUGAUCGCAUAUGGUCCCUGAAGAAGUCAGUUCUGCGGUGCAUUCUGCGACCGCAAAACUCGAAUGCGGACCGCAUCACCGCAUUCCUAACCCAAGAGGUUUGAAACUUGAGCAAUUUCUACGGACCGCAUAUCAGUUCUGCGACUGCAAAUUUGCAUCGCAUCGUGCUCGCCUGGUGUUUAUAUAAUAUUUUAGACCCGACCCACCUUUUAUUAAAACACCUUCUCCCUCAUUUUUAUCACAUUUCUAAUCAAAAUAAGAGAGAGGAAGAUAGGUUUCUUGAGAGAGAAAGUAAGUUCUUCAUCAUCUAGUCUUUCAAAACCAUUGGAGCUCGGAAAAUUCUUGGUGCAUUGUCUUCUCUACUGAUUUCUCAGGUAAAAUCCUAACCCAUUUCCCCCAAAUUUAAAAAUUUAAGCUUGGGAAGGGAACCCCAUACACUUGUUUUGACAUUCUUCAUAAAACUCUCAUGCAUGCUCCUAAAACCCUAAAAUCUUGUAAAAAGGGAAUUGGGUAUUAACUAUGAGUUUAAAUUUUUAAAACCUAAUAGUUGCUCAUGAACUAUAUUUACUUUUUGAUUGCUUGGCGCAUUGGACAAGAGGUUUAAAGGGGAUAAUCCACUCCAUGUAUGAAUGGCUAACUGUGAUCCUUGUGAAAUCGCCUUGUGUUAGUUUGUAAAAUUAUUUGAUAAUUGAUAUUCAUGUGGUGAUCAUUGUGAAGCCCUUGUGAUGUAUAUUUGUGUGGUAACACCUUGUGGUGGAAGUUGAGGAACUCGUAAUUUCAAGAGUUUGGAAAUGAAAAUAAUAUGGAACAGUGGAAAUGAAAAUAAUGUGGAACAUUAAAAAUGGAAAUAAUGUGGAGCAACGUGUAUGAUUAGUUGUGAACAACUUUUGUGGUAUCCCAAAUUGUGUACCAAUUUGAUGAAUAUGAGGAAAUUGAUGUUGCUAGUUGUAGAAUUACAUUAUCCUUGUUGUGUAUCUAUUUUAACAAUGUGCCAUAAUUGAUUUCUUGUAUUUGUUGUUGUGUUGUAUGUUGUUGUGAACUGAAACUGUCGGGCGGGGUUGGGUUGCGCGCCGCAACACGCUGAAAUAAGGUGUGGAUUGGGGUGAUAAGGGUGUUCGGGGUAAUAAGGGUGUACGAGGCAAUAAGGGUGAAAAAUGUGAUCCAAUAUCACUAUUGAUAUGAACAUAAAUCAUGAAAUGAUAAAUGUUGAAUUGUGAAAGGAGACAGCAGGAAAGUUUGUAACCUGUUGGGCACUGAUUGCCCCUUUGUUUGACUAAUUGUAUCAUUUAUUGUGAAAUGUUUGGUUGUAAAUCCAUGGUUGUACCCGUAAUAUUGAUGUUCAGCUUUACACUUGUAUAUGCAUUUUUUGCUUGAGUUUACUUAGGACAGAGUUUGUUCAUACAUGCCAGUACAAUUCAAAUGUACUGACGUCCCUUUUGCCGUGGGCUCUACAUUCAUGUUAUGAUUGUAGUUGGAUCCGUGGCAGGCACUCUAGUCCACCGUCUGUAGCCCCUCCUCCUUUAUAUCAGCUGUGUACAUGUUGGUGAGCCCCUCUCCUUCUGGGGCCCUGCGUGGUUCAGGCCACCUCAGUUGUUGUAAUAGUAGUUUUGUGAUGUCAUUUCAAAGGUAUAGUCGGGGCCUUAUCGCCGAAAAGUGUUGUAUUAUCUCUCCUAUAGGCUCCGUAGACAGUGUUAUGUGGGAUAGAACUUACGUAUAUAUGUGUAUGUUUUGGGCGUUGUAAUUUUGUACACCACGUUUCCUGUUAAUCAUAAUGUGUAUUUUGUAAAAGGCGCUCCCUGUUAAUCAUAAUGUGUGCUUAUAAAAGAGAAGUCCUAUUUACUCCCAAUUGCAAUUUGGUAUCCUUUGGCUAAAUAACAUUCAUUAAUGUGGGGUAGCACGUGGGGGACAGGUAAGGCACCCAGGUCCGCUCGACUAGGGCUACCCGGUCAGGCGCCGGUCAUGCCCCUCGGCUUUGAGGCAUGAAAAACUUGAUAUCAUAGCCUAGGGUUUUAAUGUUGUCCUAGGAUGUCUCGGAGUCGUGCCUAGUAGAGACCUUCUUAUCGGUAUUUUGUCGAUCACAUCUAUAAGUUGGGGGCUAUACGGGCAUUUAGGAAAAACUACCCUCUUCUUUGUUAUUCCAAGUUCGUGAGGUGAAGUGAUGUUGUGUCUAAUUCGUGCAUUAUUUUGAAUAUUCAGUAUUGGCACCCAAGAAGAAAGUUGGACUUGGCCUAGGGGCCAACGCCACUUACUGUGCGGUUGUGGAUCAUGUGACGAUUGUCGUGGGUGAGAGUGAUUCCCCAGUUCUGAAUUUGCCUGCUCUAUCCGUUCCUAAUCCAAGCAAUCAUGUUCCAGCAGCGGCCGAGGGUACCACUAUCCCUCCUGCCAAUGCUCCUAAUCCUGAUGCCGCUCCAGCUUCCGAUCCCGGGAUUCUUUAUGGAGACCUUAAGGGAGCCAUCCACAUGUUGACCUAGUUAGUGGUCGCCCAGGCCCAGAGAUCUCAAGAUGCCCAGGUGUCCUCCAGCGGACAGUGAGAUUCCUCCAGCCCCAGAGUUCACCAGUUUCUGCGAUUGUCCCCUCCAGAGUUCUCAGGCACAGACCUAGAGGCCGAUCUGCAAGAAUUCCUCGAUGAGAUGUACAAGACCCUUCGACUGAUGAAGGCUACAGAGAUAGAAGUGGUAGAGUUGGCUUCAUACAGGUUGAAGGGAGCUGCGCGUUCAUGGUUUGAGAUGUGGGAGCAUUCCCGAGAGGAGGGGAGACCUCCAACUAGAUGGGAUGAGUUCGUAGAUACCUUCAUGGACCACUUCUUGCCUGCCGAGACCAUGGCAGCCCGUGCCACCAAUUUUGAGGUUCUUAAGCAUGGUAGCAUGAGUGUGUGGGAAUAUCAUAUGGAGUUCGUGAGGUUGUCCAAGUAUGCUCCUGAGGUUGUGUCGACUGUGGACGCUAGAGUUCGGCGAUUCGUUCAGGGCCUCAGCCCUUUGGUGGUAAAUGAGGCUGCUACAGCGGCUUUGCAUUCAGACAUGAACUAUGGGAAGAUUGUGGGUUUUGCUCAGGACACAGAGGCCAAGAAGUUGAAGAUUCGGGCAGACAUGGAGAACAGCAGAAGGGCCCGAUCUAUGGGUCACUCAUAGAGGUCAGCUCCAGGGAGAGGGUCAUCAGGAAUAUCUUAGUCUUAUGCUCAGUCCUCAGCUAUUGCACCGCCAUCUGUGCACCGUUACCAGCAGAGUAGCCCUUCGGGGCCAGGUUCAGACAACAGGAGGUCCCGCCAGUUCAGUCAUUUAGGGAUGAGACCUUGGCAGUGGGAAGGUAUAUGUCCCAAGUGUGGGAGAUUUCAUACAGAGGCAUGUUACUGGGAUGCUCCAGUGUGUUACAAUUCUGGGCUGAGAGGUCACAUACAACGACACUGUCGUGCGCCAGAUAGGGCAUGGGUAGGGGACUUGCUCAGCCAUCCAGUUCAUCAGUUGCUACGUCAUCAGUGCGCCCUCCAGCCCUAGCAGGGCGUGGUGCAGCCAGAGGUGGAGCUCGUGGUAGGGGCGGACCCAGCAAGUUUUUAUGCAUUGAGUGGCCAUCAGAGUGUUGAGGCUUCCCCAGAUGUUGUCAUAGGUAUCCUAUCUGUCCAGACAAUUGAUUGCUAUGCUCUUAUUGAUCUGGGGUCUUCUUUGUCCUAUGUCACUCCAUUUGCUGCUCCGAGUUAUAGGAUUGAACCCGAGCAGCUUCUUGAGUCGUUCUCUGUAUCGAUUCUGGUUGGUGAUUCUAUUACAGUCACACGGGUCUAUUGGAAUUGUGUUGUUAUGGUAGGUGGUCGUGUUACCACGGCUGACCUUAUCAAGCUUGGGAUGGUGGAUUUUGAUGUAAUCAUGGGGAUGGAUUGGCUCUAUUCGUGCUUUGCUAAACUUGAUUGUCGGACGAGAGUCAUGAGACUCGAGUUCCUUAAUGAGCCGGCUAUUGAGUGGAAGGGACAUAGCGUUGUGCCGAGGGGUAGGUUUAUUUCCUACCUCAAGGCUUUGAAGAUGAUCAGGAAGGGGUGUACCUAUCAUUUCUACCGCAUAGUGAAUCAGAGAAGAUCGGAAGAGCGUCGUGUAGGGAAAGAGUGUAGAUCUCGGUGGUCGCCGUAUCAUUAAAAAAAAAUAAAUGAGUGUUGCUUAGCCAUAGCAGGUCUGGGGUGUAUCUAUCAUUUAGUCCGGGUGGCGAACACUACUCCAAAGGUACCUGCCCCCGAGUCCGUGCCGGUUGUGAAUGAGUUUCUUGAGGUAUUUCCAUAUGAGCAUCCAGGAAUUCCGCCAGAUAGGGAGAUUGAUUUCGGGAUUGAUGUAUUUUCAGAUACCCAGCCAAUAUCUAUUCCGUCGUACAGGAUGGUGCCAGUAGAGUUGCGGGAGUUAAAACAGCAGUUGAAUGAUCUAUUGUAGAAGGGGUUUAUCCAGCCAAGUGUGUCACAAUGGGGUGUUCCGGUUCUUUUUGUCAGAAAUAAGGAUGGGUCGCUUCGGAUGUGUGUCGAUUAUCGGCAGCUUAAUAGAGUCACCAUAAAAAAUAAGUACCCUUUGCCUCGGAUAGAUGAUUUGUUCGAUCAAUUUCAAGGUGCAAGGUUCUUCUCCAAAAUUGAUUUGCGGUCUGGGUACCACCAGUUAAAGAUCAGGGAGCAUGAAAUUCCUAAGACCGCUUUCAGAACGCGUUAUGGCCACUUUGAAUUCUUGGUCAUGUCUUUUAGGCUAACCAACGCCCCGCCGACUUUUAUGUAUCUUAUGAAUCGGGUCUUCAAGACAUUCUUAGACUCCUUCGUAAUUGUUUUCAUUGACGACAUCCUCAUAUAUUCGCGGAGCAGGGAGGAUCAUUCCAGCUACCUCAGAGUAGUUUUGUAGACUCUAUAUCAACACCAAUUGUAUGCCAAGUUUUCCAAAUAUGAAUUUUGGUUGGAGUCCGUCCCUUUUCUGGGUCAUGUUGUUUCCAGUAAGGGGAUUCAGGUGGACCCCCAAAAGAUUGCAGCAGUGAAGGAUUGGCUUAGGCCCACGACCCCGAUGGAGGUCCGCAGCUUUUUGAGCUUAGCAGGGUAUUAUCGGAGGUUCGUAGAGGGAUUCUCCACACUCGCCUCUCCUUUGACUAAAUUAACGCAAAAAUCAGUUAAAUUCCAGUGGUCAGAUGCUUGUGAGAAAAGUUUUCAGGAAUUGAAGACAAGGUUGGCCUCUUCUUUGACUAAAUUGACACAGAAAUCAGCCAUGUUCCAAUGGUCAUAUGCUUGUGAGAAAAGUUUCCAGGAAUUGAAGACAAGGUUCACUUCGGCACCAGUAUUAGCCUUGCCUUAAGGCACAGAGGGAUUUGUAGUUUAUUGUGAUGCCUCCAGGGUCGGUUUAGGGUGUGUUCUGAUGCAGCACGGGAAGGUCAUAGCAUAUGCUUCCAGGAAACUCAAGAAUCACGAGAAGAAUUAUCCGACGCGUGUGUUCUGAUGCAUCCCGAGAAGGUCAUAACAUAUGCUUCAAGCCAACUCAAAAAUCACGAGAAGAAUUAUCCGACGCAUGAUCUGGAGCUUGCAGCAGUUGUGUUCGCCUUGAAAAUAUGGCGGCAUUUUCUUUUUGGGGUUCAUGUAGAUUUGUUUUCAGAUCACAAGAGUAUUCAAUAUUUGUUCAAGCAGAAGGAGCUGAAUUUGAGGCAGCAGCGAUGGUUAGAAUUGCUUAAGGAUUAUGAUAUUGACAUCUUGUACGAUCUAGGGAAGGCGAACCUCGUGGCUGACGCCCUCAGCCGGAAAAACCAUGGGUAGCUUGGCUCACUUGAGAGCGGAUUAGAGGCUCCUAGCUCGACAAGUACAUCAGUUGGCUAGCCUUGGGGUUUGUAUCUCGGCCCCGAAUGAGGAGGAACUUAUGGUGCAUAAUACAGCAGAAUCGUCGCUCGUGGCAGAGGUUAAAGAAAAGCAAUUUAGUGAUCCAGCAUUGGCACAAUUGAAGGAGGCAGCUCUAAGUAACAAAUUUCAGUAUUUUCACUCGGCAGCAAUGAUGGUGUGCUACUAUGCCACGACAGAUUAUGUGUCCCCGAUGUGGAUAAUCUUCGGGAGAGGGUGAUGGUAGAGGCUCAUCAUUCCAGGUAUUAAGUGCACCCAAGCUCUACAAAGAUGUACCACGAUCUCAAGGAUAUCUAUUGGUGGAGUGGUAUGAAGAAGAGUGUAGCGGACUUCAUCUCUACAUGCCCGAAUUGCGAACAAGUGAAGGCCGAGCAUCCGCGGCUGGGAGGGUUGACUCAUCUUAUAGAAAUGCCGAUGUGGAAAUAAGAAAUGAUCAAUAUGGACUUUGUGACAGGACUACCUCAUACUCAGCACAAGUUCGACUCAAUUUGGUUGAUAGUGGAUCGAUUCACCAAAUCAUCUCACGUUUUGCCAAUCAAGUCCACCGAUACUGCGGAACAAUAUGCUCGGUUGUAUAUCAAGGAGAUAGUAAGGCUUCAUGGUACGCCAAUUUCUAUCAUUUCAGAUCAAGGAGCUCAGUUUACAGCUAACUUCUGGAGGAAAUUUCAGCAACGUUUGGGUACUCAAGUGAAUCUCAGCAUGACUUUUCAUCCGCAAACUAAUUUCCAAGCAGAGCGGGCUAUUCAGAUGCUCGAGGAUACGUAGUGAGCAUGUGUCUUGGAUUUCAAAGGUAAUUGGGAUGAUCACCCGCCCCUUAUAGAGUUUGCUUAUAAUAACAGUUUCUAUGCUAGCAUCCAGAUGGCCCCAUUCGAAGCAUUGUACGGAAGAAGGUGUAGGUCCCCGAUCGGGUGGUUCGAGGUUGUGAAGCAGAAUUAAUCGGGCUAGAUCUCAUGCAUCAGGCCAUGGAGAAGGUAAGAGUCAUUCAGGAGAGGAUGAAAACUGCUCAAAGUCGCCAGAAAUCCUAUGCGGAUGUGCGCCGAAGAGAAUUGAUGUUUCAAGAAGGAGAUUGGGUAUUCUUGAGGGUGUCCCCUAUGAAGGGAGUCAUGCACUUUGGUCGAAGAGAAUUGAGGUUUCAAGAAGGAGAUUGGGCAUUCUUGAAGGUAUCCCCUAUGAAGGGAGUCAUGCGCUUUGGGAAGAAGGGAAAACUAAGUCCUAGGUACGUCGGUCCUUAUCAAGUCACUCAAAGGAUCGGUCAAGUUGAGUAUAGGUUGGAAUUGCCCCCUGAAAUGUCCUUGGUGCACCCGGUGUUUCAUGUAUCCAUGUUGAGGAAAGUUGUUGGUGAUCCGUCUAAAAUUGUGCCAGUUAAAGACAUUAAGGUUACAGAAGAGUUAUCAUAUGAAGAGAUUUCGGUUGCUAUUGCGGAACAAGGAGAUUGCUUCAGCUAAGGUGUUGUGGCGAAACCAACAAGUCGAGAAAUCCACGUGGGAAGCGAAAGAGGAGAUAAAGAUAAAUUAUCCCCAUCUAUUUGAGCAAGUCUAGAGAUGAUCGUGCAAAUCUUAUCCCUAGGAGAACUAGUGUUGUGUCCCAUUAGGUGUAAGAAACCUUCGCAAGUGCCUACUAUUGUUGUUUCUCCAAGUUGUGCCAACAAAAAUUAUGUGUUGUAACUAUUUAAGCAAUGUGCAGUCCUUUUUGGUAAUGAAAGUUUUAUGCUCUCAUGGUAAGGUGAUGUAUGGAAGUAAUAAUUAAUUUUGCAUGGGAGAUGGUGUAUCAAAGUGUUCUAGUUGUGUAAUGAUUAACUUUGAAUGGAGGAAUUGUAUUUAAAUGAAUAACAGUUGCGUACCCUUGUGAUAGGUAAAUGGAUUUAAUAGUACAGAUGAUAAAUGCUUAAUUUGAUUACAUGUAGUGUGCCAAAAUUGUUGAAAAGUGUAUCGAGAGGUUGAAUAUGUGCAAGUAUGAAGAUCGUGCAUUUUAAUAACUGUUGUAACGGUAGUAAUGCUUGGAAAUAUGUUUUGAAGGUUCUCUCACAGGUGGUUAUGUCCAUAUUACAAAGGAGACUCUGGCAAAAAUUUCCUAAAACAAACUUGAAAGUUAAUAAAAGUGUAGAAACUUGCAUAUCAUGUUUUCAAACUCAUUUGGUUCCCAAGUCCUCAUUCGAGGACGAAUGAUCUCAAGCGAAGGAGGAUAUAAGGCCCCGUGAAAAUGAGUGCUAAGAUGUUAGAAGCUCAUAGAGUCGAGUCUACCUGCGUGGAUCGGAUUCUUUUUACUGUUUUGCACUAAAAAUAUGAAAUCAAAAUAUUUCCAGAAAAUUGUCAAAAUGCGGUCCAGAAUGCGGUCGCAGAUCAGCUAUACGGACCGCAUUCCUACCGCAGAGUGAAUCAGAGAGCAACCAAUUUUUGAUGUUAAAAAUGUGGUCAGAUCCGCGGUCGCAUAAUCAAUAUACGGACCACAGAUUGAUCGCAUAUGAUCCCUAAAGAAAUUUGAAUGUCAGUUUUGCGAUGCUUUCUGGGACCGCAGAACUCGAAUGCGGACUGCAUAUUCACCCCAUUCCAAACCCGAGAGGUUUGAAACUUGAGCAAUUUCUGUGGUCCAUUAUGCAGACCGCAUGUCAGUUCUGCGACCGCAGAUUUGCGUCGCAGAUCGUGCUCGCCUGGUGUUUUUCUCAAAUUUUAGACCCAACCCACCUUUUAUUAAAACACAUUCUCCCUCAUUUUUAUCACAUUUCUAAUCAAAAUAAGAGAGAGGGAGAGAGGGUUCUUUAGAGAGAAAGUAAGUUCUUCAUCAUCUAGUCUUUCAAAACCAUUGGAGUUCGGAAAAUUCUUGGUGCAUUGUCUUCUCUACUGAUUUCUCAGGUAAAAUCCCAAACCCAUUUCCCCUAAAUUUCAAAAUUUAAGCUUGGGAAGGGAACCCCAUACACUUGUUUUGAAAUUCUUCAUAAAACUCUCAUGCAUGCUCCUAAAACCCUNNNNNNNNNNNNNNNNNNNNNNNNNNNNNNNNNNNNNNNNNNNNNNNNNNNNNNNNNNNNNNNNNNNNNNNNNNNNNNNNNNNNNNNNNNNNNNNNNNNNNNNNNNNNNNNNNNNNNNNUUAGUGUUGCUCAUGAACUAGAUUGACUUCUUGAUUGCUUGGCGCAUUGGACUAGAGGUUUAAAGGGGAUAAUCAACUCUAGGUAUGUAUAGCUAACUAUGAUCCUUGUGAAAUCGUCCUGUGUUAGUUUGUAAAAUUGUUUGAUAAUUGAUAUUCAUGUGGGGAUCAUUGUGAAGCUCUUGUGAUGUAUAUUUGUGUGGUAACACCUUGUGGUGGAAGUUGAGGAACUCGUAAUUGAAAGAGUUUGGAAAUGGAAAUAAUGUGAAACAGUGGAAAUGGAAAUAAUAUGGAAUAGUGAAAAUGGAAAUAAUGUGGAACAACGUGUGUGAUUAGUUGUGAACAACUGUUGUGGUACCCAAAUUGUGUACCAAUUUGAUAAAUAUGAGGAAAUUGUUGUUGCUAGUUGUGGAAUUACAUUAUACUUGUUGUAGAUCUAUUUUAACAAUGUGCCAUAGUUGAUUUCAUGUAUUUGUUGUUGUGUUGUAUGUUGUUGUGAACUGAAGUUGUUAGGCGGAGUCGGGUUGCGCGCCGCAACACGGUGAAAUAAGGUGUGGGUUGAGGUGAUAAGGGUGUCCGAGGUAAUAAAGGUGGACGAGGCAAUAAGGGUGUAAAAUGUGAUCCAAUAUCACUAUUAAUAUGAAUAUAAAUCAUGAAAUGAUAAAUGUGGAAUUGUGAAAGGAGACAGCAGAAGAGUUUGUAACCUGUGAGGCACUGAUUGCCCCUUUGUUUGACUAAUUGUAUCAUUUGUUGUGAAAUGUUUGGUUGUUGCUCCUGGUUGUACUAGUACUAUUGUUGUUCAGCUUUACACUUGUAUAUGCAUUGUUGGCUUGAGUUUUCUUGGGACAGAGUUUGUUCAUACAUGCCAGUACAAUUCAAAUGUACUGACGUCCCUUUUGUCGGGGUAGCUACAUUCGUGUUAUGAUUGUAGGUGGAUCCGUGGCAGGCACUCCAGUCCACCGUCCGUAGCUCAUCCUCCUUUCUAUCAGUUGUGUACAUGUUUGUGAGUCCUCUCUUUCUGGGGCCCUGCCUUAUUCAGGCCACCUCUGUUGUUGUAAUAGUAGUUUUGUGAUGUCAUUGCAAAGGUAUAGCCGGGGCCUUAUCGCCGGCAAGUAUUGUAUUAUCUUUCUCCUAAAGGCUCCGUAGACAGUGUUAUGUGGGAUAGAACUUAUGUAUACAGAUGUAAUUUUUGGGCGCUGUAAGUUUGUACACCACGUUUCCUAUUAAUCAUAAUGUGUAUUUUGUAAAAGACGUUCCCUGUUAAUCAUAAUGUGUGCUUAUAAAAGAAAAUUCUUAUUUACUUCUAAUUGAAUUUAGUAUCACUUGGCUAAUUAAAAAUGAAUAAUGUGGGGUAACACAUGGAGGACAGGAGAGGCACCCAGGUCCACUUGACAGUGGAUACCCGGUUGAGUACUGGUCAUGUCCCACAUCCUAUUUACUCCCAAUUGCAAUUUGGUAUCCUUUUGCUAAAUAACAUUGAUUAAUAUGGGGUAGCACGUGGGGGAUAGGAAAGGCACCCAGGUCCGCUGGACUGGGGCUACCUGGUCGGGCACCGAUCAUGCCCCUCGGCUUUGGGGCGUGACACAAAAUACCUAGAUUUGCACAACAAUUUUGUAAAAGCAUUGUAUGAGUACACAGCGGUACCCAGUAAGUAUCAAGACUAACCUCGGUGGACUAGUGACGAACCUACUAGACGAACAUAAGUGUAGAAACAAUAGAGUACGAUAUCUAUAUAAGGACAUAUAAUGACAGUGAUAAUAAUACGGUGAUUGCAGUAAGAAAGGAAAACAACAACUAACAGCAGAACACCAUAAUAAUGACAUAGUAGAAUAAGCAAACCACAGUUUGAAAUUCGGUGAACAAAAAUAGAGAAAAGGCAAGCAACAACUUAACAAACACGACUGCUUUCACACCAGGCUCCAGCCAAUAACCAUUCACGAGGUACCAAACCUCAGAAUAUUCACAUUUCACGGUUCUAAUUUUCGGAACCCUAAACACUUGACAUCUUGUGCUCUCUUUACCAAUUUAACACUCAACAAUAUCAAGGUACAUCCUUUUAGCCGAUAAGAGAGAUUAACUAUGUGUAUGUUUGUGCAAGUAUUCUAACAUAGUUCAUGUCAUCUAGUAAGUAUAGAAAAAAUGGAAAGCACGUAAAAUAUUUUCCCAUAAUUUUGCACAAGAUAAAACUCGAAGAAAUAAGUACACCACUACACAAAUAUCAACAACAAGAAUGCCCUCAGGCCAUCGCAAGUCACCACAAAUCAAUCCUAGACAUAGUCCACCUUGUCUUGCCACAUGUGCAAUUAUUAAAGUAAAUGCUCGCCUUGUCUUGCUACACGUACAUAAUAAUGUGCUCACCUUGCCUCGCCACAUGCGUAACCCACACCCCCCCCCCACACAUACACACACACACACACACAUAUAUNNNNNNNNNNNNNNNNNNNNNNNNNNNNNNNNNNNNNNNNNNNNNNNNNNNNNNNNNNNNNNNNNNNNNNNNNNNNCACACAUAUAUAUGUAUAUAUAUAUAUAGAUAUAUAUGAAUGAGUAGCAUUGAUGUUUUAAUGUCAAUUAUUCAUACUCGAAUGUUUGAUCGGUGAAUAAAUAAGAAAGUCAAUCUUGGAAUUUAAGUGACCAGAUGCUCCGGUAUAAUGAGUGACUAGAUGCUCCAAGAUGUGUACAAUCGACAAAGUCUUGAAUAUUUUAUUCUCGAUCAUCUUAUUAGUACUUUGCUCAGAUACUUCAUUAGCGGAUCAAUUGAAAAUUCAAAUAUAUUCAUUCACUACUAGAAUUCGGCCAAAAAGUGACCAAAUUUGGUUUGUCAAAAAAAGCGACCAAAGUUGGUCGCCAAACUUACGAAAUAAUUAAAAAAAAUAUUUGAAAUAAUUUAGCGACCAUAUUUGGUCGCUAUUUGGACGCAAAUUUAGUCAAACUGUUGACUGGACUGGUCAGACUUGGUUGGUCAAAGAUAUUCUGAGUUUAGCGACCAAUAUUGGUCGCAAAUGCGGGACCCACAUAAAAUUUUUUAAUAAUUUUAUUUUUAUUUUAUAAAACUUAUAAAAUAUAAAUAUAUAUAAUUUAAAACUUGCAACUAUAGUUGGUCGCUAACUGAAGGAUAAGAAGAUAGCGACCAACUUUGGUCACUAAAGUGGGACCCUGUUAUAAUAUUUUAAUAAAUAUAUAUUUAUUUGAAAUUUAUGAAAUAUAAAUAAAUAUAAUUCAAACUUUAGCGACCAAAGUUGGUCGCUUAAGAAAAUAGAGACCAACGUUGGUCGCCAGUUCAAACGUUUAACAAUUUUUAUAUAUUUUUUAAAUAUUAUAUAAAAUAUAAAUAAAUUUGAUUGAAUUUUAGUGACCAAAUUUGGUCACUAAAUUAAAUUCAUGUACUGUUAGUGACCAACUUUGGUCGCUAGCGACCAAAGUUGGUAUCUAUAUGGUCAAAAAUAAAAAUUAUUUUUGUAUUUAAUAUGUAAAUAAUAUAAAUGUAAGUAAUUAAUACUUUUGUAAUACAAGGGAUGAAUAGUACUACGAAGUGGGCGUGCGUGUCUAUAUAUAUAAUAUAUAUACUUACGCUAGCGGUAGAUUUGUGAUUGGGUAACGAAUUUGAAGAUGCCUAAUGGUUAUGUGUCGAAUUUUGAGAAAAAAGUUGAUAUGGAGAUAGGGAAGUUGAGCCAUUUGAAAAGUCAUGACUAUCAUAUUUUCAUGGAGACCUUAGUGCCUAUUGCUUUUCUGGUUUGCCUGAAAGAAUCAGGAAACCAAUCACUGAGAUUAGUUUAUUUUUCAAAGACUUGUGUUCUUCCACAUUAAGGGAAGAAAACCUAUGGUUUGCUUGAAAGAAUCUGGAAACCCAUCACUGAGAUUAGUAUGUUUUUCAAAGACUUGUGUUUUUACACAUUAAGGGAAGAAAACCUACACCGGAUGGAACAGAACAUUCGUGUAACUUCGAGUAAGAUGGAAAAGAUAUUUCCAUGUGGGUUUUUUGAUGUGAUGGAACACCUUCCAUUCCACCUUGUACAUGAGGCACGACUUGGAGGGAUUGUUCAAUACAGAUGGAUAUAUCCCUUUGAGAGGUAAUAUUAUAGUCCAUAUAUAAUUUUCUAUUUUAUUUGAAUGUUCUUGGCUAACCCGAAAUUAUGUAGGACAAUUGGCAAAUGCAAACAAUUUAUUAAGCAGAGAAAUAUAAUUGAAGGAUCUAUAUGCGAAGCUUAUCUUGCAAAGGAAAUGCUCUUUUUUGUUCUUAUUAUUUUGAGAGCUACUUGCCAUGUGCUAGAAAUAGGCCCAACAGGCACACGGUCGACCUUACGAAUGAUCCAUUAUAUCCGCCUAUGUCCAUAUUCAAUCAACCAGGCCGAUGUUCUAAGGAUUUUAGAAAAAGAAGUUUGAGUGAUAUGGAGUUCAAGUCCGCUACACUUUAUGUGUUGCUAAAUUGUCCCGAAGUAGUACCAUUUCUCAAGUAAGUAUUGAUUUAAUAGUUAUCAAAUUAUAAAAUUUACUGUGAUUACAUCUCAAUGCAACUACUAAAAAUAUUUUGAUGUGUCACAGUCACUUCGUGGGUCAAUUUGGCCAAGAUGCUAUAUAUACGGCAUUUCCUAGGUAGUUUAAACAAUUUGUAAGUAUAUCCUUAAAAUAUUCUAACACUAUGUAGGUAAACAAUGUUUGAAAGUUAUGCUAACUUAUGGAUUUUGUUAAUAAUAUGUAGGUAAAUAAUCUAAAUAAUGGUGUAAAUCAACUUUUGAAAGAUAUAUCUUGGGGACCUAGGGUUGAGGUCACAACAUAUUCCAAGUAAGUUGUAAUGGUUAUUACUUUCAUACAGAGAGUUGCUCUAAAAAUAAAAAAAGCAACAACAGUGGGGUGUCGGUUCAAGGUGGUGAUGGCAACCAAGUUGGAGAUAUUGAUUAUUAUGGUGUGCUCAAAGAAAUAACAGUGGGGCGUGGGUUCAAGGUGGUGAUUGCAACCAAGUUGGAGAUAUUGAUUAUUAUGGUAUUCUCAGAGAAAUAAUAGAACUAGAAUAUACAGGUUGACCAAUUAAGAAAUUGAUAUUCUUUAAAUGCAAGUGGUUUGACCCAAAUACAACAAAAGGUACGAGAGUACACAAUCAAUACAACAUAAUUAAGGUUAAUCAUACGAGGGAUUAAAACUAAGCCUGUAGGUAGGGUCGAAGUCGAGAAUGUGUUGGAUGUUACAUAUCAAAACGAUAUCUCCAGUGUUCACCAAAUAGUGGACGAACUUUCAGAAAAUGAUUUGGAACAUCCUCAAUGCAUAUUGGGAGAAGUUGAUAUAAAUGAAGUAAGAAUUAUAGAAAACGAGGAAGAAGAAUCAACUGAUGAAUCUCAAACUAGUGAGGAAGAAGAAUUCUCGGACAAGGAACAAUAUGUCGAUGUAACGUGAACACAUAUUGAAAGAAGUUGAUAUAAAUGAUGUAAGAAUUAUAGAAACAAGGAAGAAGAAUCAACUGAUGAAGCUCAAACUAGUGAAGAAAAAGAAUUCUCUGACGAGGAAGACUACGUCGAUGAGCUUUAAAAAGUUGGUUUCUUCGAUAACUCUCGUUUAUAGAUAGUUUUCUUAUAUGUUUCAAUCUAAAUAUGUAUUAUAUUAUGCAGAUGACAAGAAAGGGUCGAGGUAACAAUGAAGGUAGUGGUUCUUGGGGUCGAGAAAAGCCUAGGAAGCAAAAGAGGAGGGUAAUAUAAGGUCGGGGUAAAAUGAAGGUAGUGGUUCUCAGGGAAAAGAAAAGGCUAGGAAGCAAAAGAGGAGGGUAGAAAAUAGUACUUAUAAUCUUUUCCACCCUCUUCUGAUUUGCAUGUCACUAUGACACAGCCUCUACCCCAUGGCUAUACUGAGCUGCCACAACAUCACCAGCCCUACACCUUCAUGCAAACCUGGAGUGUUUCUUCACAGGGUCAUCGAACUGUGCGUCCGACAUACAGUCCACCUGCCUCACAGCCACGUGGAUCCCACCCAGCAGCAUCACAUGGAUCGCAUCAGUCCAUUUCACAGCCACAGGGAUCACAUCCAUCAGUCAGGAAAAGAAGAAUGGUACGUAAUUGCUUGAUAUAUUUUAAUUUUCAAAGUAUAUCUAUUAUAUUUAUUAAUUAUCCAUUUUACAGCCACAGGGAUCACAUCCAUCAGUUUCACGGCCACUUGGGUCAAAACAGUCUGUAUCACAACCACAUAUGAUCCAUGUAUCUAUGUCGCAGUCACAGGGAUCACAUCUAUCAUCAUCAGCGACUCCACCUAUUGGAGGCCUUCGCUUGCGGGAUAGUAGCUCUGACCCACCUACUCCUUCCACACAUGCCUCUGAUACACAUGUUUUGGGCGAUGAUGUCGAUGAUGCUGCUGCUGAUGAUGAGGAGGAGGUGCAUUAUGAUCAGUAUGGAAGGAUCAUCAUAGUCCCUGAGGGUGAUGGGUAAGAGUUAUUUGUUAUUUUUAUGUUUAUUAUUUUGUACAGUUUUUACUAAGAUAUUAAUUUAUUUUAUUUAUUAAAUUACAUGUUCCUCCCGAGUAAUAUUACUAUGAGGAUAAUCACCAAAGCAACUAGAAAGCUUUAUGAUGUCCCCUAUGCGUCUUGGCGUGAAUUCCCAUUCUCACUGAAGGAGGCAAUUUUCAAUGAAGUUAAGGUAUAAAUGUUCUUUUAAGCAGUAUAAUUAUUUAUAUUUAUGAUAUUUCAUAUAAUAUUUAACUUUUGAAAUACAGAUCAAGUGUGUAUGGGAACGCCAGUAUAGCGCGGGAGUGGCUACAAAUUUUAAUCUCAAAGCUCGCAAACAGUUGUCGCAUGCUUUCUCCAUAGCUAGACAGCUGAACUAGAAGCCUGGCUGGUUGUUUCAGGAGUUUUGGGAUGAUUUGCAAAGGCAAUGGCUUGCUGCAGAGUUCUUACAGAAGAGAGAAAAGGGGAAGAAAGCUCGGGCAUCUGAGAAAGGAUGAUCCUUGCACAACGCAUGUGCGGUCAACCAGGAGACAAUAAAAAGAAUAAUGGUACGUAAUUGCUUAAUAUAUUUUAAUUUUCAAAGUAUAUAUAUUCUAUUUAUUAAUUAAAAUUUAUGAGUUUUCAGGAAAAGAAGUUGGGACGUCCGAUGAACCAAGAUGAGCUAUUCAAGGAGACUCAUAUUGUGAAGAAAAAGAAAGAGACGGAUGACGAAAGGUGGGUCGAGAGACGUGCCUUGACAUUACAUGUAAGUUUUCACUUUUCAUUUACUUUUAUAUAAAUUUAAAUACUAAUUCAAUUUACUUUUUCUUAUAGAAUCGCUUCAGAAUUGAAGCUGAGGAAUUCAUAUGCAGCCAGCCACCUAGUGAGUCGAGCGAGCCAUUCCAACUUUCGGCCGAGGAUAUUGAAAGACUAUGGACGCGGGCUGCAGGCGGUCCAAAAUACGGGAAUGUAUACGUCCUUCCUAUUAAGACAUUCCAUCGCUAUAGGUGUGGAAUGCAAGGAAUAGGGACUUCCUCGCAAGCCGAGCAACUUGAUAGGGAGAGCCUUUCCGCUAUGCGGGAGACUAUGUUAAAGCCCACAUCCGAUCUAAAAGCGUCCAAGAAAAGAGAAAAGCUUAGAGAUGCUCAGUAUGUUGGUGUGGUCGCUCAGUGCCAGGACAUGCAAGAGCAGAUAAAAAUCUCCUAACUGGAUCUUCUUCGAUUCCCUGGUCUCGGCCAUCAUCGCCAGAGGCUGCCCGUCCCCGUGCUCGUUCAUCCUGUCAUCGAAGUGGUCAUUCCUCCCGUCCUCCCCGUGGGCAUUCUUCCCGUCAUCGACAAGUAGAAUCUUCUCAAUACCGUGAUGAUGAUGAAACUUCAUCAGACGGUGAUGAUAUUGAUGUACCAAACAAUGAAUGCAUUUUAGACAAUUUUAACUAGACAAAUACAAUUUAUUUUCCAUUGGGUUGUAAUAAGAGUUAACGUAGUUUGGUAAUUCUAUUGAAUUGAACAUUUUCUUGGUUUUAAUGUAGCUUUUAAUGCUGUUUUUGUGUUGUUGUUUGGUAUUGUUAUUGAAAUUGUUGUUUGAAUUGUUGUUGUUGUUGCUUGUUAGGGUUUUGGUGUGACUGGCAGGUGGUGUAGCUGCCAAAAUAAUAUACAGAAAAGUGACUAAAGCUGGUCUCUAUUUGGUCGCUCUUCAAGUUAAAAAUAAAUUUUUCUGGAAAAUAGCGACCAAUUUGGUCGAUAUUUUCCCAUAUUUCUUCAAAAAGCGACCAAACUUGGUCGCUACUUCAUUAAAAAAAAUUGGUAAUGUAGCGGCCAAAGUUGGUCGCUAUUAUUUAAAAAUUAAAUUAAAUUCAUGUAUUUAUGGGCCAAAGUUGGUCGCUAAAUUAAUAAAAUAAAUAAAUAAUUUAAUAAAAUAGCGACCAACACUGGGCUAAGGUUUCCAUAUUUUAAAAUAUAAUAUUUAGAUUAGAGACCAAAGUUGGUUGCUUUUUAAUGAUUAAUAAUAAAUAAAUAAUAUUUUUUAUUUAGAGACCAACUUUGAUCUUAAAAAUUAUAUUAUUAAAUUAAUAAAGCAUCAAAGUUGGUCUCUAUUGUCAACAUCCGGAAAAAUUGAUCCAUUUAGCGUAGAGACCAAAGUUGGUCGCUAAUUAGUGAUCAACUUUGUUCCCUAAAUAAAAGGGACCAUCAAUAUAGCUACCAGGCACCUUUAGUCGCUUUUUAGCCAAAAAAGCGACCAAAGUUGGUCGCUUUUUCCGGUCGCUUUUUCCCGAAUUUCUAGUAGUGAUUAGAUAUUUUUCUCUUAUUUCUUAUGUUAUGUUACUAAAUUCUAAAAUAAUUCGGGCUAUUUCUUUACUAAUUUACAUUUAUAUUAAUAUUUCGAGUCGGAAGUCGUGGUAGGGGUGGGCAUAUAUCGGGUAAAAUCGAUAACCCGAACCGUUAAUUACUUAUUGGGUUAUCGGUAUUGGAUUGUCGGGUUAAUGGUUUGUUAAUGGGUAAAGAAAAAAUAAUUAUUGGGUUAUCAGGUCGGAGUCGGUUUAGCAAUUCUGUAUUGGGUAAACCGAUAGCCCAAUAAGAAUUUAUAAAUUUACUAGUUUACCCUUAGUGCAUUUUAACAUAAUUAAUAAUAUUAUAACUAGGGUUUCAUUUUAAGUUUCUCAGCUAAGAGUACUACGCCCGCCUUCUCACACCCUCACGCCAGUCCUCAGUCCUCACCCUCACGCCAGUCAUCAGUCCUCACCCUCAGAGGCUAAGACCUCACUAUACUCUGCCACCGCCAGUUCGCCAUCGCCUCAUGACUCAUGCAGUCACGCCCCAACUGAGCCCGUAAUUGUAAGUUAUUCUUUUCCCCCUAUUUUCUCGUUUGACAUCAUUGCUGAAUUUGAUGCUCUGUAUAUUCUUGGCCUAAGAAAAUGCCAUGAGCUUUUUUCUCUUCAAUUUGCGUUCAUCCAAAGUCUGUGAUGUUUGUUGUAUUUUUGCAAUUACGUGUUCAAUAUUUAUUAAAAUUUUAGUAAUAUGUUACACACAUAUAUGGAUAAUUGACUAGCAAGUGUAGAUGUAUUUUUUAUUACUUACUUUUUAUUAUUGUGUAUGUGUAGUCAUUAAAUUCUGUCAAAGUUUGCUUGUUAAUGUUGGAAGACAACGACGAAGUUACUGAUUGAUUUUAUUUUUAGGAGUAACUUAUGCGUAAAACUUUAGCGGUAAUAAAGAAUACUUUAGCGGUGGGCAUGAAAUUACUGAUUGAUUUUUUUUUAGGAGUAACUUAUGCAUAAAACUUUAGCGGUAAUAAAGAAUACUUUAGCAGUCCUUCUCAUUUUAACAGUUCAACAACAGUCAACUUUUAAUUUUAGUUUUACCUUAUCGGGUAAAUCGAUAACCCAAUCGAUAAUGAUCAAUAACCGAUAAACCAAUAACCGAUAACCAAUAUCUUAUCAGAUUGGUUAUCGGGUGAUGUUAUUUGUAAACCGACAACCUAUAGGUAAAACCGAUAAUUUUCAAAAUCAAACCAAACCGACCGAAGCCCACCCUUAAAUCGUGGUUCUAUCAAAUUUGCAAAAGCUUUCACUAUCCUCUAUCGUUCCCAUCAUUGAAGAUGAAAAAUCCAAAUAACAUCACAGGUCUUGUAUCUAUAAUUUUCCUGUCAUUUCUCAAAUAACUCUUUGUAGAAAGAAUGUAUAUUUCACUUCCCCUUUGUUCUUACUUUGCUUCCAAAACAAACAAUAUAAAUUUUUUGGCUCACUCCCUUUUGCCACUCUACUCAUUGCUCUCAACUCUGAAUUCUCCAACAACAAGCAAACUAGGGAUACUGUCAGAACUCCAAUAUACAAAUUUUUCAGUCUCAAGAUUUCAUGAGAUUCAAAAGACAGAUAUACACACAAUUAUCUGUACUCUAUUUUUGGUAAACAUUAGUACAUUUUUAUAAUUUUCCUUUUUAAUUUCGUACUCAAAUUUUCAAGAUUUAAAGAUGCAAAAAAGCGGCACGUCUAGUGGGGAAUGGGACCAAUAAAAACUAGAGAAAAAAAAGGGAAAAUUCAUAUAUAUAUAUAUAUAUAUAUAUAUAUAUAUCGGGUUGGUGCGGUUUGUCGGUUUCCUUUGUACAUCCCUACCUAUAUAUAGCACCAACCCGAUAAUCCGAGUCAAACCGAGAAAAAAGCCGAUUAUGGGUUGGUUGAUUUGGUUUGGUGUUGGAAAAAAAAAUCCGGCCAUAAUUGGUUUGGUUUUAACUAAAGAAAGUCAAACUGAAACCAAACCAACCCGACAUUACAUAAAUAGAAAUUUUAAAUAUAUUUAAUAUAUAAAUAUACUUAUUGUGAUGUAAUUUAUAAAUAUUUUUAAAAGAUUUCAUAAUUUUAUUUAUUGAGGUAUUAUUUCAAAGUUGGACUUAGAACUUUUGAAUGUUCCAAUAAGUUUUAUAGCCAUUAACAUUAGUAAAUUAAACAGUGCUAACAAAAGCCCAAACCAAAAUCAAGUCAAUACUAAUGCUAACAAAAGAUAUUUAACUCAAUACUACGAACAAGAAUGUAUUGAAUAUUUUUCUUUUGCAAUAAUUUAGAUAAAAAUGUAUAACCUAUUUUUAUUUUUUCUUUAACGUUUAGGCAUGUAUUUAAUACUCCCUGAUUAGUCUAUUUAUUUUAGCAUGACUUAGUACUCUUAGAUUAUAUUUUUUAUAGCUUUUUAAUUAGCAAUAUUUAUAUUACAUAAUUUUAUUGUCUUUAUUGUUGAAUAUUUUAGGAUAAUACCAUGAUAUAUCUCAUAUUUUGUAAUAUUAUUUUCUUAGAAAAUGCUUUCCAUUGUUAUAUCUUAUUAGGACAAAUGAAAUAUUUUGAAUUUUAUAUGUUUUGUUCUACGAAAAUUUUAUCGGAAAAAAAUCGAAAAACCCCGAAUAAUCCGAAAAUCCGAAAAAACCCAAAAAACCCGAAAGAGAAAAAUCCGAGUUUUAUUGAUUUCGUUUGGUCUUUAAAUUAAUAAUCCGACACAAUUAAUUUAAUUUGGUAAUUGUAAAAUCCAAACUAAUCCGACCUAUGCACAUUCUUAAAUAUAGGUCAUAGUCGUCAGAUAGGUCAGAGAACAUUAAAUAGGGUGGGUGUGUGGGGGUAAUUUAAAGUUCAAGAGAAUAUAAGUUCUAGGCAUGCAAAGUGUAAACAAUACUAUUACAGGUUUCGGUCAAUUACGUGUAAUUUUAGGUUAAUCUCUAUAUAUACAUUUUCCUAUCAUAAGGACCCAUUUGUCCUUAGAGUUUCUUUUUCUUUUUUCUAUUUUUUCAAUGGAAUUUUACACUUUUGGAAAUAUUUCGAAAAACAAAAAACAGUUUGACGACUUUCUAAAAAUUUUCAUAAAAGUCUUUUUACCCAUUCACAAAAUUGCAAUAUUUAUUUCAAAUGAAAUAAAUGUACAAACAUAAUUUCAAAUAUUAUUUUUUAACUUAACUCUAAAUGCUACAUACUUUUUCAAAAAUUAUACUCCAUUUUUUAUGUCCAGAUGCCUACUAAGUGUGUUACUGUCUAUGUAUAUAGGGGUGAACCUAGAGCUUAUAAUACGGGUUUUGGAAAUUUGAUAAUUUUUGUAUAGAUCAUGUAUUUAUAUUAAGAAAUUUAUUAAAUAUUUGUAAAUAUUUAAUUAUAAACUCAAUUAUUACUACUUAUUAAUCUAAAAUUACGAUAAUAACUCAUAAACCUUAAAUCAUGGAUCCGCAAAUCGAGAUUGAAAAGAGGCAAACAUAUAGUUGAAGCAUCCAAAAAGGGUCCACUUUGCAGAAUUUGUUUUAAUGAAAGAGUUGUUUUGAAUCCCCUUAUAUGAGAAACCAUAGAGUGCAUUUCUAUCACAUGCUUUGGUUCUUCUAAUAUCUUUUCUUCUUCUUUUUUUUUUAAUAAGAGUGGAAACCUGCGGUCAUUGUAACUUUAGUCACCAUUUUUUGGAUGAGCACUCUGUAGUGAGCAUUUUUCUGCACAUUAAAUUAAUCUUUUUUUGUGUAAUAACCUACAAAUUAUACAGGAAAUAUAUAUCGUACAAGGCAAGUCUUGUGUAACAUCUCUACUUUUUUCUCCUUUAUUUUACCCCUCUAAGAUUCUCAUAUCCUUGAUUUCGACUCGUAUAAUCUUAUCACUCAUUCACUUAUGCAUACUUAUACUGUGUACUUCCUCCUGUCCAAAAUAAAUAAUUUUUUGGCCUUUUUUAUGGUCCAAAAUAAGUGAUUUUUUCAAAUUUUAAGAGCGCAUUAAUUAUUUUUUCCUACAUUGUUCUUGGAGUAAAAAGUGUUGGAAUAUGUGUUAUGAGUGUUUAUGUGAGAUAGUAAAGGUUAAUAUCGUCAAUUCCAUUACCAAUCAAUGCUAAAAGGUGAAUUUCUUAAUUUGUGUAAAAAUAUCCAAAAAAUUACUUAUUUUGGACCGAAAGUAGUGUUAACUAUUCGGAAUUUUCAAGUGGUCUACUUGCUAGUUGCUACUUUUCUCGCUUCUUUAAUUCAAUUAAUUAACCUUAGUUUGGUAUACAAUUUGUUAAUUAUUAUUCUAUUGAGUUUAGAGGGCUAAAAGUCAACAUGUAUAUAUAUAAAGGCAAAAUGACACCAUAUAGCUACUCUAAAUGACUGCUAUUUAUGACAAAAUAAAUACCUGUAAAUUAAGGAUGCGCACUUGCCCCAUAUAUAGACCCUCUCAAUAACGUUAUUGCAAAUCUUAAAAUAAACAAAUAAUUUUAUAUAGUUCUAUAGCUAUAUUUCAAUUAAUUGUGGUUCUACUGCCCUUUCCCUAAUCAACACAAUUUAUUCUCUACAGAAACAUACUGCGAUAAUAGAGACAAAAACUUCCACUUUUACUUAGUCUUUUGCACCAAUUAAAUCACGAUUUAUAAAAUAAGAAACUCGUUAAUUAAUUGUGCUGUCGGUGAUGCAUGAUAUAGGACAAUGUGGGGACUUUUACAAAUAGAAAUAUUGUUGAUCCUUUUUGUUUUCUCCAAUUAUUGAAGUCACUUUUCCAGUGCACUUUCGUUUUUAUUUCUUUUAGGCAAUCAUUCAAAUAUCAUAUAUAUUACCACUCCGUUCUUAUUUUUGUAUAUCAAAUCAGUAUAAAGUGGAUGAUAAAACUCCAACUACACCUUUGGAUAUCAACAUGAAAUAUUUUGGACAUGAAUUUUUUUUUUUUGGAAAAAUUUUUUCUUUGUUUUUUGAAAUUAGUGUUUGGCCACAAAAAAAAAAUCUCUUGAAAAUAAAAUUUGAAAUUUUUUUAAAUUUUGAAAAACUCCAACAUGAUGCUUUUCAAAAUUUUCACUCAAAUCACUUACAAAACUUAUAUUCAUGUAAACUCUAAUUUUCAAAUAUAAUUUUCAUUUGAAAAAAAAAAUUACUUUUCUUUUUGGAAUUUUACAAUUCUUAUGCCCAACAACAACAGUAAUAAUUAUUAUAUUUGAAGUAAGGCAAAAAAUCUCACUUUUUCUUUUCCCCUUUAAAAUAGGUUGAAGUAGUUUUAGGACUAAUAGUAAAUUAUAUAAUAUUAUUUUUGUUGUUAAAUUUUCAGUAGAAUAUGUAACCAUGCCAGUAAAUUUCCUUUCUUGUGAGCAAAAGAUAAAGCUUUUUUCUUUUAUGUGUCGGCAAAUUGAUGUGAUAUCAUUCAAAGGAGUGGAGGAAAUUAUUGUGAAUGGUAGAUAUUUUUGUACCAACUUUUUUAGCUGGCCUUAUUGUACGGAAAAUGAACUCACAAGUCACAACAAAUUAAUAACGAAAAUAAAGUUAUUGUAUCCUCCAUUUAAUAUCAUUGUGCAAUUGACUAUUCUCUCCUUAUGGCAUGGAGUCUUAAAAAAGAGAGAUUCUUGAAGAAUGAAAAGAUUGAUACUGUUUUUAUCUUAAUUAGAGGUCUCGGGUUUGAGUCCUGGGUAUGGAAAAAUCUUUGAUAGGGAGUGCUUCCCUCUGAAAGGGGCCCUACGUGGCGAGAAGACAGAUAUAGCAGGGCUCCAAUUCAGGUACCAAACACCUGGUGGAAAACCAAAAAAAAAAAAAAAUUUGACGUCCUUCGGAAAAAAGAUCAAGAAAUUGGCUGCUUUUUUCAAAAAUAAAAUUAGAAAAUACUUUUUGUUUAUGAAAUAUGAAUAGUUUUUGAAAAGAAUUAAAUUUUUUUCAAGUUCCCAAAAAUUGAUUUAGGAUAGUUUUUGGGCAAAAAUUUUCUUCCACUCAUAAAACUCAACUUCGAAAACUCUUUUUUCAAGUUUCAACUAAAUUUAAGUCCAAACGCUAGCAUAAAAUCGAUCCGUAUUAUUUUCCUUGCAUGACAAAAAAAGUGAAAAUAUAGGCAAGAAAAUGUACAGUUUUAAAAUCGAUCCUCGCCUUUUUUGUUUCACUCACUCUUUUACAGUAUUGCCACUCUACGAGCAAAAAUGGAGCCAGAAUUUAAAGUUACCGAAUUCGAGAUUCUACUAUUUUUAUGUUAUCGAGUUCAAAAAUAAGAAUUUUUACUUAUUCAAUAAAUUUUUUAAGACAAAUAUACAUUCUUAUAUUAAAACUAUUGGGUUUAGCCGAACCUGUUACCGAAGCUCUAACUCCGACCUUGUCUACGAGAAUAUAAAGAAAUCCAGCAAACCCAGUUAAUUUUGUAGAAACGCCGAAGUAACCACGUUAAUUUUGUCAAUGUUUUGGCUAAUACAGUGUUAAUAAAGUAUUAGUUUGGUGCCAACCCCUUGACGCCAGCUAGCAGAUCUCCUGGCUAUAAAUACUAAGAGAAAGAACCCUAAAAGGUGGUUGCUUCUUCUUCUUCACAUCUACUUCUAAAAGAAGGGAUAAUACAUCAUUGUAAGGCUCUGAACCUCUCCAUCGAGAGGCAGACCAAACCAAUAUCAUUAAGAAAAGAUCUUCACCCUCUUCCCUUUAUCGAAUAUCUAUUGUCUCUUAUAUCUUAUUCCUUUGGUCUUUGGAUUUAUUACGGCCUGCUAUGAUUGGCCCUCCAUUUAUUUCGAUUGUUUUAUGCGUAUAAAGUGAAUGAAAACUUUGAGCUAAAAAAUUUUGGCGCCAUCUGUAGGGAUUUCAUAUUAGAAUCGCGUAGUCCAUCCUAAGACCGAAAACGAAAAAUGAACAACUCAGCUCAAACGAGUCCAAGCAGCAUAUCGGGUCUUUGAGCGAAUGGAGGAAGAAGGAGAAGUAGAAUAUCCCCCAUCUCUAGGGAGAAACGAGCUCAAGGUACCUCACACCUUUUCUUUCCACACGGGAUCCUGCCGAAAGGGAGGACAGCAUGAAGGCAUGCCUCAAGCACUUCGGCAAUUCGAGCAAGACGGGUAAGAAAAACCACAGGUGCCAACUAGGCAAGACCUGAAACCAAAAACAAACCCCGACCCCAGCACGAAGAGGGUCAUGCAGAAAAACUCACAAAAGUUCAACUACGGUUGAACUGGGACUCAGGCUAUGCGCCUUCGACACAGGCUACGCGCCUUCAAAUAUUAUAAAAGUUCAACUACAAUUGAACGACAAUACAGGCAACGCGCAUUCACAUAAGGGUUCAACUACGGUUGAACUAGACUCAGGCUAUGCGCCUUCGACACAGGCUACGCGACUUAAAAUAUUAUAAAAGUUCGACUACGGUUGAACGACAAUACAGGCUACGCACCUUCACACAAAGGUUCAACUACGGUUGAACUGGGACUCAGGCUAUGCGCCUUCGACACAAGCUAUGCACCUUCGACACAGGCUACGCGCCUUAAAAAAUUACAAAAGUUCAACUACGGUUGAAUGGCAAUACAGGCUAUGUGCCUUCACAUUACGUUCAACUACGGUUGAACUGGGACUUAGGCUAUGCGCCUUUGACACAGGCUACGCGCCGUCAAAUAUUAUAAAAUUUCAAUUAUUGUUGAACGGCAAUACAUGCUACGCGCCUUCACAUAAAGGUUUAACUACGGUUGAACUGGGACUCAGGCUAUGCGCCUUCGACNNNNNNNNNNNNNNNNNNNNNNNNNNNNNNNNNNNNNNNNNNNNNNNNNNNNGGACUCAGGCUAUGCGCCUUCGACACAGGCUACGCGCCUUCAAAUAUUAUAAAAGUUCAACUACGGUUGAACGGCAAUACAGGCUACGCGCCUUCACAUAGAGGUUCAGCUACGGUUGAACUGGGACUCAGCCUAUGCGCUUUCGACACAGGCUACACGCCUUCAAAUAUUAUAAAAGUUCAACUACAGUUGAACGACAAUAAAGGCUGCGCGCCUUCACAUAAAAGUUCAGCUACGGUUGAACUGGGACUCAGGCUAUGCGCCUUCGACACAGGCUACGCGCCUUCAAAUAUUAUAAAAGUUCAACUAUGGUUGAACGGCAAUACAGGUUACGCGCCUUUACAUAAAGAUUCAACUACGGUUGAACUGAGAUUCAGGCUAUGCUCCUUCGACAUAGGCUGCGCGCCUUCAAAUAUUACAAAAUUUUAACUACGGUUGAACGACAAUACAAGCUACGCACCUUCACAUAAAGGUUCAACUACGGUUGAACUGGGACUCAGGCUAUGCGCCUUCGACGCAGGCUACGCGCCUUCAAAUAUUAUAAAAGUUCAAUUACGGUUGAAUGGCAAUACAGGCUACGUGCCUUCACAUAAAGGUUCAACCACGGUUGAACUAGGACACAGGCUACGCGCCUUCAAAUAUUAUAAAAGUUCAAUUACGGUUGAACGGCAAUACAGGAUACGUGCCUUCACAUAAAGGUUCAGCUACAGUUGAAUUGGGACUCAGGCUAUGCGCCUUCGGCACAGGCUACGCACCUUCAAACAUUAUAAAAGUUCAACUACGGUUGAACGGCAAUACAAGCUAAGCACCUCCACACAAAUGUUCAACUACACUUGAACUGGAACUCAGGCUACACGCCUUCAAAAAAUGCAAAGGUUCGACUACGGUUGAACGACAGCUCGGACCACGGGCCUUUACCUCUAUCGCAGAGCCGCAAGCUCAACCACAGACGAGCCAAAGCCAAGGACGCAAGUCCCCGAGGCUAUAAGUAGGGCCGCAAUCAGACGAAAACAAACGUCCCCAGAUGUCUAACCACGGACAAACCCCAGGUUUGGCCAAGCGCCCCACCUUUUCAAGUAAGUGCGACUAAUACAAAUCAAAAUAUUGACCCGCGCAAAGUUCGUACCAAGUCUAACCACGAGGUCGUGCUUUCAUUAUCACGGCCAGUAGUUCGACUAAGCCCAAACUGGGACUAAGGCCAUAUGCCGCCCCAGCCCAAAUACGGCCACAAUCCGCUCCCAAUAAGUGGAGGGAAGUGACGAUCGAAAGCGUCUAUCUAUGGCCAAGGCCAUCCACACCAACUUUCCUUGAGGCAACGAAUCGGUUCGACAUUGGUCAAAAUCACUCUGGUCAAGACCAUUAACAUAUCCAAUAGAAAAACUCUGAAGCAAAACCUUCGCAAACAAGUGCAAAAAAUAUAUAAUGUAUUCGACACAAAAUGAAUGGAAAAGAAGAAAACCAAAUAUAUUUACAAUAUUUACACAGGGUUAUCCCCAAUUACACCUGCCCAAGGCUGGCAGAGAGAAAAAAAAAGCAAGAACCAAACAAAUAUUACAAAUUUUCUUUUCACUCGGCGCCCCCAGCACCCCCUUCAGCAUUAUGAGCACCCUCAGCGCCAUCAUGUCCUCCGGGGGUAGACGGAUCAAAACCACAGUCAAGGAGGGCCUCACGGGCCUUUUGGCGUGCCUCUUCAUAAAUGGAUUCGGACACGACGCCAGCCUCCCACAGCCGCCUGUACACAUCAAGUUGGGCCUCGGCGUACGUCCAAAGCUCGCGAGCAGGACCAAAAGCAGCGGCCUGAUCCCUCAAGCGCCGGUUCUCGGCUUGCAAGGCCGCAAUCCGAUCUGCCACAGCUCGGGCGUCCCAAUCGCAGAUGGAAAUGCGCCCCUCCAACAACCAUUUUCGAAAGGCAACAACAGCCCUCCCUAAUCCGCGCUCCAUUUCCUGGGCACGGUCGGUCGCUCAGUACUUCAGCCCUCGCCAGGGCGUCCUCUACCUGCCUCCUUGAAGUGGCGGCCUCAGACUCCAGGACAGCCACCUGCCUGGUAUAAGCCUCGGCGGCCUCCACCACUACAUCCAGGUUUUGGCGCUCCCUCUCAGCAGCCGCCCUUGUCUCAACAUCCACCCCUUCGUUCUCUUGGCGGAGCUGCUUCUCAAGAGUGGAUACCCUAAUGAGGGUCUGUUGCUUGUAAAGAUCCCUCCAUGCUAGCUCUUCUACUAGCUCCCAGUUCCGUGGAUCGUUCCGUAUGCGCUCACGCAAGCCACAACACCGGUCACGGUAACGGUGGUACUUCCCCAACAGCCGCGCAAAAAUCGCCGAACGAACAUUAGCCCGCCUAAUGCUCUCCACAUCCAGCAAAAAUGUCUUCAGCGAACAGAGUGACAGUUAACACGAGAAGACAUGCAAAGGAAGAAAACAAACCAAAGUUUUGCACAUACCUUUAUACUUAGGGCGGCCACAUCACCCAUCAGUCUGACGUUCGAAAUGCCCCUCACGGACGCUCUCUCCGCUUCCGAGCACUGGACCCCAAAUAUCGUCACUAGGUUCUCCUCCUCGAGCAGCAGGUUCAGGCCGUUAGGAAUCUCCAAAUAACGAUAAUCCCUCUCGGCCUGCACGAUCGAGCGGGUAUAUCCCUCAUGAGAAAGACGGAUGUCCUCGGGAUCGAUAUCAAACUCCGAAUCAUCCCCCUCUCCUGAAAUGCACCUUCCUUCCGCCGCCCUUGAAAUUGAGGCUUCCGCCGCCCGAGGCGUCAAAGCACUCGCAUUAUCCGUAAUGUCGGCGCUUUCCUCCUACCGCCCUGGAAGUUGAGGCUUCACCCGCCCGAGACGUCGACACACUCGCAUUUGCCGUAACGUUUGUGCCAGCCAUCUCCACCAAAUCAGCUGCCGAGGAGUCGCCUUCCCUCGCAGCAACAGGAACAGAAACUUGAGUCGCCGAAGCGACUGUAUCACCUUGGCCUAAGCCAACCGGGGCAACCCCCACUGAGCGCUCACCUUCUGGUGCAAGGUCCGCUGCGCCUCCCUCCUCCGCUGACGAUGAAGAAUCUAAACUGAUCACCACCGGGAGGGCUAGGGUUAACUCCACCCUGCGCUCAGCCAGUGGCCUCUCAUUUUCUUCUUCAUCUCCAUUUGGCAAUCGCUCCACCCUGGAGCACACGAGCCCUGGAGAUUCCUCAACUCGAGGCAUGGGCCGCACCGGAGAAUGUGUAGCUAAAGACUCCGCCGAAGUCACCCUCAGAACCGGAUGAGGCGCCGACAUUAUAAUCAUUCGGGCGGUCGCCCCGGGCCUGCGGAAAGCAAGCUGAGGAGCUCUCCUGCGUCGUGGUCGCUCUGACCAACCAAAGAAGAAGAGUUAGGUCAGAAGAACUAAGGACUACAAAGAAAAAGUGACAAACAACAAAUCAGAUUCUUACCAGCAACCGGUCUGCAGCCAUGCACCUCCUAAUAAGACGCCCACAUGCAAAUCCCCGUCGUAACAGGGAGCACGGCCUCAACCCAAUCGCGGAUGCCUGAAAUUGGCGCCGGUAGAGCACCUCUCGCUAUGGCACAGAAAGAAGAUCAUUACGCGCAAAGGCCGGCCUACGUCCAUGCACCUCUUAGAAAGACGCCCACGUGCAUAUCACCGUUGUAACAUGGAGCACGGAAUCAACCCACUCGCGGAUGCCUGAAAUUGGCACCGGUGAAGCACCUCCCGCUACAGCACAGAAAGAAGAUCAUUACGCGCAAACAUAAAGCAGAACAUUCAGCCCAAGAGAAAUCAAAGCCAGCGUAAGAGAAACUUACGUGCAUGGUUCCACUCCGCCGAGAUGUCAGUGGCACACGCCAUCAGAUGCUCAGUCUUGAUGUAAAAGAAAUACUCGAAGGGACAGAUAGCGACCUUAUCAUCGAGCUCCGCAGUCAAGCCGUCGGUCCCACGAGAAACCAACCGGACCAUAGUUCCACGUACCCUCUGAGGAGCGUAUAGAGUCAACACGUGCCCAAGAGUAACUUCCUUCCAUGCCAACUCUGCAUAUUUAAUCAGCAUCGCCAAUCAUUUGUAGCGGGAAGGGACGAGCUGACCAGGGCAUACCCUGUAAUAACGGCAAAGGUCCACCACCAACAUGGGAAGAGGAAGCCUAAAUCCCAGUCUGAAAGGGUAGGCGUAGAAGACGCAGUACCCUCGAUGGUCGACGUGCGCCCUGUCGCCGCUCAUGGCCAAGACGAUGUCGGAAAAGCGAGGAAUCUCACAUUUCUCCUUCAGUUGAGCUAAGCCAGCUUCCCCCAUCAAUGGAUUCUCGUCCACUUGAUCUUCUCCCUCAGGGUCGGUAAAAUCGGUCUCUGGACCGCCGGGAAGGGAGAGAAUGUCGGUCACCGACGGGAACCGAUCAACGGUUGGCGAACCAGUGGCUCCCGCCACCGUAGAUGGACCCUCUACCGCCGCAACCGCCACUGGAACUGCAUCUGAACGAGAACUGCUCGCCAUUAUCAAUAUAACAGAAAGAAGAUGGUAAAAUUCACAGGAAAAAACAAAGGAAUACAGAUAUCCGACGAAAAUAACGGAGAAUGAAUCAGCAAGGACUGCAACACCAGACAAUCUGAAAGCAAGAAAGCUUGUCUCCCACAGAAUUCCACUUAGACAAAUAUCGGAAAAGUGAGAACUGAACGAUACAACUCCUUAUUUAUAGACGAAGCAUAAAUGACCUUCACGAAUCCCAAAGGUCACCAUUAAUUACCUGACCAACCGCAAAACGAUUCAGACCUACAGUAACGGGCACCAUUAUGACAGAUACCAUUGAACGGUCAUUCAACCGUCAAUCGGCACGUCCCCCAUGAAAUGAUUGUGAUGACCUCAAGAUACCAUGGGCACGCACCAUGUGUCACCAUGCAUAUGGUGUCCCCCUUAUACGCGGUAAGCGUGAUCGUAUCCUCUUCGGGCAUAAUUAAAAAUGGCUACGUCCCUCUCCAAUGUAAAAAAGGCUACGGCCAUCUCUAAGAUAAAGGGCUACGGCUACCGCCAAAAGAUAAAAGGCUACAACCAUCUCUAAGUAAAAAUGGCUACGGCCAUCUCUAAUAUAAAUGGCUACGGCCACCGCCAAAAGUAAAAAUGGCUACGGCCAUCUCCAAAGUAAAAAUGGCUACGGCCAUCUCCCCAGUAAAAAAGGCUACGGUCAUCUCUAAAGUAACAAUGGCUAUGGUCAUCUCUAAGACAAACGACUACAGCCACCUCUAAAAGAUCCACAGCUACGGUCGUCUCCAAAGAAUAAAGGACCGCGAUUGUCUCUAACGUAUAAACCGUUACGGUCAUUGGCGUAAUCCGCUCAUCGAGCUCGACCCGAGCCCGACCUCAAUAAAAGGAGGGACUAUCUGUAUGGGUCAAAACUUGACCUCAUGAUAAUGAAUGAGAUCGACGCAUUUACACGGUUAUUAUCGGAAUUCGCUCAUCGAGCUCGGCCCGAGCCCCACCUUAAUAAGCGGCGGGACUAUCUGUAUGGGUCAAAACCUGACUUCAUGAUAAUGAAUGAGAUCGACGCAUUUAUUAAAGUAUAUUUAUGGCUAAUAAAUGAUAUAGCCAUUUAUUCACAAGAUUUUCGGGUAGUUAUCCAAUUUGACAACUAAGGUCACGGCCUAGCCGUCCUCACGAGGGCGUCCCCUGUGUGUGGUCCCAACCCCUUGGCGCCAGCUAGUAGAUCUCCUGGCUAUAAAUACUAAUAGAUAGAACCCUAAAAGGGGGGCUGCUUUUUCUUUUUCACAUCUACUUCUAAAAGAAGGGAUAAUACAUCAUUGUAAGGCUCUGAACCUCUCCAUGGAGAGGCAGACCAAACAAAUAUCAUUAAUAAAUGAUCUUCACCCUCUUCCCUUUAUCGAAUGUCUCUUGUCUCUUAUAUCUUAUUCCUUUGGUCUUUGGAUUUAUUACGAUCUGCUAUGAUUGGCCCUCCAUUUAUUCCGAUUGUUUUAUGCUUAUAAAGUAAAUGAAAACUUUGAGUUAAACAGUUAUCUAUUGAUAUUUGGUACAACAACUAACAAAAUCACUUUAAAAAUUCAAUAUCCGAUUCAUCUUGCGAUAUAUAUAUAUAUAUGCGGAGCCAUAUUGAACCGGUGGGUCUUCGUAAAAAAAUCACAUUAUAUUGCUAGAUAAUAAAGGCUUUAUACAAGGUUUUCAUGGUCAAAAGUUAUCUCCAUGAUUAUUAACAUGGUCAUAAUUGAUAACUUGUAAUAGCCAUUACCAUAAAAAAUUUGUAGAAAACAAUUUCAAAUUUUUGUUUUGGAGCACAAUUUUAUUGCUGUUUAAGAAUUACUAUAACAAGCAUCAGAAAUUAUAUGUUUCAAUGAACAAAAAAUGAACAGCGAAAAUACGAAAAAAAAAAUGUCCCAUCCAAUAUAAAUUGACAUACUUGUUUGAAUUACUCAUAUGAAAUCUUAUACUGGUGCAUGUACAUCAACAUCGUAUUACCAUAUAUAGAGUUUUUCAAGUUUAAAAGGGACUUUUCAACGCAAAAAUGUUUUGUACUCUUAAUAAAUAAAAAUAGAAACUAUAGACAGCCCAGCAGCUGUUAUCAUAAUAUAUAUGGCAAUGUUGACCGCUUCAAGAUAUGGUAAAUCCAUUCAAUUAAUAGCAAAAAGUAGACUAGCUGUAGUAAAAAGGUGUUAUUAUAUUUUCGCCUCUACAAGGUUUAUAUAUAUAUUUAUUUAAAAAAGAACUUAUUUUCUGAAAAUAUUUUACAGUGUUUAGUUGGAGAGUAAAUAAUAUUUUCUGAAAAAAAAGGUUAUUAAGAAAAUAUUUUGUCCAAGGAAUUUUGUACUCUGGUUUAGGUCGAAAUAGAACUGAUUACUCAAGUAUUUGCUUGGGAAAUUUGGCCUUUUGAUAUCUGAAAUAUCAAUAAAUAUAAUUUUAAUUUUUGUGAUAUUUGGCGAAUUAGAAUUAGCCUUUAAUUAAUUGAAAUGUGCAUAUGUGAUCCCCUAUUUGUAAAUCUUCCCAAAUUUACCGAAUUAUAUACGGUUACAUCAUUUGACUAAUCAUAUAUUACGUUAAGUUUUUACUUUUAUUUCAUGCAGUGAUAUAGUUCUAAGUAUACAGAGAUAAGCUAGCCUAUUAAGUGCAUUUUUGGUCGAAAAUCAGUCACUUUUACUUACGCACUAUAUUUGUAUUAGAAAAUUAUUAAAUAUAUAGAAAUAUUUAAUUAUGAUCUCAAUAACUAAAACAAAUUAUGAAUUUGUUAAUAAUGUCAAAACUCAUAAACUUCAAAUUCUGGUUCUUCCUCUGUAAGUAUAGUCUAAAUGGAAUAGUAUUCAUAUAUAAAUUUAACAAAAACACAUUUUAAUAAAUUAAAGGUUAAAUGUAUUAGUUAUAUUAUAAGGAUCAAAAUUAAAAUAUAUUAAUAAUUAAGAAAUUGAAUGUACUAUUCGUCCCUUGUUUAUUUUGCUCAAUAGGUUGUGUAUGUAAGGGUGCAUAAUAUUUGGCAGCUGUAUAUUUAUUCCAUGCUAUACGAACUCUAUCAGAUUAAUUCACUUAUAAACAGAUGAAAAAUGUAAUUUAUAUAAUUAUUGCAUUCAGGAGGUUAUAUAUUAAUCAUUUUCAUUUCUAAAAUUCCUAAUAGUGUUUAAACAAGUUUUAACUUUACGUAAAAUGCACUUACACGGUGAAACCUUAAUUAUUCAAUAUUAGUUAAUUAAUUAAUCAAAACCUUCGAUCAACCCUCACAUGUAGAGCAGGUGACUCAACCAUUUCUUCACUUUACCUCUUCACUAGAGUAUGAAAAAUGGUACUCCAUUAAUAAUAAUGCAUACAAAUAUGUCAGUGUGUAUAUUACCAAAAACUACCAUUUUCUCUCUCAUUUGACUCUUUUAACCCUUAAAUAUAACUUACUUUCAUCUUCACUAUUGUUAGUACAACUCCAUCACUUUACUUUCACAUCAUUAACAAUAACUACUACAACUAGUGACUCAUUAAGCCUAAAAACACCAGUUAACCAUUGAAUUUACCAAUAUACCCUCCACCCCACCACCAAGAACCACCGUGCCCCUCCUCCCUAGGUGGGACCACUUCCACCACCACCAUCACCAAAGAUUGGACCCCACAUACCCUAUUUCUUGUUUUCACUCAUUGAUCAUUUUUACUAUCAAAGAUCUAUCCAACAGAUCUGAGUGCCCCUUGUGCAUUACGCGUUGAACUUUCCAAACUCUCUCUUUAAUUUGUCUUUGUGUGGAUCCCUUAGCUUCUUGUUCAUUCAUUCUCUGAUCCCCACAGCUCAGCGUAUAAAUAUUACUCCACUGACCAAGUAAAGAGAGUGAACCCCAUUACUAUAAUUUAUUUCUGUAGCUGGGGGUUUCUCUCAAAGUAACAAGAAAAGAAUCCAAAAAAAGUAAAACUCUACAAACCCAAAAGAGUCUCUUUCCUCACAUCACCAAAUUCUUGUUUUUUUUUAUUUUCCAUACAUUUAUAAUAAUAUUCCUCCAUCCCCACCAAAAUAUACUGGUAUGUGUUUGUAUGUGCAUGUUUAUACAUCAUUUUCCUUCAUUAUUAUUUCUAUAAUUGAGAGAAGAGUGGUUGUUGUUACUUGUAAUGGGUGUUUAAAAGCAGUGUGAUAAUGGGUUGUGCUUUUCUUGAAUGUGUAGUGUGACGGGGGUUCUCUACUAAUGUGCUAAGAGGGUAUAUUAUCUCCUCCAUUCUUGAUUGUGUUGCUCAAGUAAUGGAUACUAAAGGGAGGCUAGUUGCUGGUUCACACAAUAGGAAUGAGUUUGUUGUCAUCAAUGCUGAUGAAGUUGGAAGAGUGAGUCCUGCCUUUUCAAUAUCUUACCUUUUCUUGUUUUCAUCUUUUUCACUUCUUAGCUCCAUUCUGAGUAAUUUCAAGAAGAUUUGAGGUCAAACUGGCAUUCAAAGUUGCUACUUUUUUUUGUCGGUGGGUUGUUAUUGACCACAUUUUUGCUCUUUCUGUAAGUUACUAUUUGCUCAUUUCCUGUUUCUGUGCUAAAAAGGUGUGAUUUUUGAGGAUAAAGCUCGCAACUUUUUCUUCCGUUUUGCUGGAUUCUUAGAUUUUACUCAAACAAGUUUGCACAGAUUUUGGGGGGAGGGUGUUGUCUUCUAGUGCUUCACUUCAGCUGAGUAAAGAUCCCUAAUUCAUUGCUUUUGAUUGUGCAAUAUCUAGAUUUAACUUGCCAAAAUUGGCUCUUUUGACCACCACUUUUAAGCUCCCUUGAUUUCAGAGCCUGCUAAAGCCUAUUACUUGCAUUCUUUUUGCGUAAGUUUGUUUACAUGUCCAAGAUUGUUUUUUUCUAGAAUUUUUCUAAAUGGGGUUCUGUGAAUUCCAAGCAUGGAUAUUCUUGAUCUGAAGAGGUGUUGAUAUUCCUUAAUUGUUUAUUGAUUACAGGUAACUUCUGUGAAAGAAUUAAGUGGGCAGAUUUGCCAGAUUUGUGGAGAUGAGAUUGAAGUUACAGUAGAUGGGGAGCCAUUUAUUGCUUGCAAUGAAUGUGCAUUCCCUGUUUGCAGACAAUGCUAUGAGUAUGAAAGAAGAGAAGGAAAUCAAGCUUGCCCUCAAUGCAAAACUCGGUUCAAGCGCAUUAAAGGGAGCCCCAGAGUUGAUGGAGAUGAUGAAGAUGAUGAAUUUGAUGACUUAGACCAUGAGUUCGAUUACCAUGGUAACCCUCGGUAUAUGUCUGAGGCUGCACUCUCUUCUCGCCUUGGCCGUGGUACCAAUCAUAAUGCUUCUGGGCUUACUACCCCAUCAGAAGUAGAUCCUGCAGCUCUUCACUCAGAGAUCCCUCUUCUUACUUAUGGUCAAGAGGUAAUCCCUCAAGAUUGUCAAUUUUUUUUGUACUCACUCUGUUGAAUUUUGGCUAAAAAGUUGCAACAUUUGAAUUUGUCGCUUAGGAUGAUACAAUUUCCGCUGACAAGCAUGCUCUUAUCAUCCCACCGUUUAUGGGUCGUGGAAAGAAAGUUCAUCCUGUGCCUUAUUCUGAUUCCAUGUCGUGUAAGUUAAAACAAGUUUGUGCUAAAUUUUAAUUCUUUAACCAAUUUUCCAGUAUUAGAGGGCCUAAUGUGUUUGAUACUUUGCAGUGCCUCCUCGGCCCAUGGAUCCUAAGAAAGAUUUGGCAGUUUAUGGAUAUGGGACUGUUGCAUGGAAGGAAAGAAUGGACGACUGGAAGAAAAAACAGAAUGAUAAAUUGCAGGUGGUUAAGCACGGAGGCGGUAAAGGCGGUGGUACCGAUGGAGAUGAGCUGGAUGAUCCCGAUUUGCCCAAGUAGGUGUAUGCGUUCCAUUUUUGUAACCAGCCUCAUGAGUGAUCUGUGAUAUGACUUGCACUUUAUUUUAUUUGUGGGAUGGUGACUUGCAGUUGUUGCAAGCUGUAGAUAUUAUUGAUUGUGUGGGAACUAUGUGCUGAAGAAAAUACUCAAGUACUACGGUUUUCUUACUUUAGUACGAGGCGUGAAAAGCUGGUCAUGUAACAUGUGUUUCGAUUUUUUAUGAGGUCCGUUUAGUUGAGACUGCCUUAAGAAGUUUGAUCAUACCAGACGGCAACUUAGUCUCGUGCAGGUUACUGCGCCUUUCAAAAAACUAAUUCAGUUGUCAUUCUGUUUCAAUAAGUAUGUGAAAGGGAAAUCUCAUUAAUGGAAAUGGUAGCCUCACUGAGCCGUUGAUCAAAAGGGAUACAAAAUUUAAUCAUGGAUGGAUGUCCAUCCACCUUUUUGCUGCAGCUGCUGCGUUGAUGUAGUUUUGGCACCCUGGGGUAGACUUGCUUGUGACUUGGAUGUACUUGCUUAUUGAUCAAACUAGAAUCUCUGCACUGUCUAAUUGCCUUUGGAGUUAUUCUCCUUUUGAAAGAAUCUUAAUGACAAAGAGACUUCCCAAUGAAAUUAAUUACCCUUUUUUCUUAACAAAAAAUUAAGCAAAUGUAAGUUGUACUUGCAUAAAAAAAGAUAUGAAACAUAGGGAUAAAUGUUGCAGAUUAGUCACUUGAAUUGAAGCAUUUUUGUACAGCAUAGUCCAUCUCUUUUGCCACUUCCCUUUUGUUGUUGGGGUAUAACAUGUUCCAUGUCUAUUUAUUCCAGCGAGGACCUUAGUUUCUAAAACCCAAUCACUGCUUUAUUUGAACAUUCUUUGUAUCAGUAAGAUUUGUCUUUCUUAUUUUAUCUCUGUUUGCAGGAUGGAUGAAGGCAGACAACCACUUUCGAGAAAGCUGCCUAUUUCCUCUAGUAGGCUGAGCCCAUACAGAUUACUCAUUUUAGUUCGUCUUGCUGUUGUUGGGCUCUUUUUCCACUAUAGAAUAACGCAUCCUGUCAAUGAUGCAUAUGCAUUGUGGCUGAUUUCUAUCAUAUGUGAAAUAUGGUUUGCGGUAUCGUGGAUAUUUGAUCAGUUCCCUAAAUGGUUUCCGAUUGUGCGAGAGACAUACCUGGACAGGCUAUCUCUGAGGUAUACGCCUAAUAUAAUAGGUGUGUCUGUGUGUAUACAUACAUGCCUCUCUGUUCAUGUCCUUAUCUUAAAUGUUUUUGUACCUGGAUAGGCUAUCUCUGAGGUAUAUGCAUAAUAUAAUAGGUGUGUCUGUGUGUAUACAUACUUGCCUCUCUGGUCAUGUCCUUACCUUGAAUGUUUUUCUCAGGUAUGAGAAAGAAGGGAAGCCUUCUGGGUUAGCUCCUAUAGAUAUAUUUGUUAGUACGGUGGAUCCCAUGAAAGAACCUCCGCUUAUUACUGCAAAUACCGUUCUCUCCAUUC
rnacentral:lncRNA from 1 species